UUUUUUUUUUCUUUUCAUCUUCUUGGGCUUAAGCAUGGACGAUCUUGGCCUUAUGCAUGAUGAUCAGAGGAAAGCAAUUUCACCUGCUGAUGUAGCGUUAUGCAGCUCAGUUGAUGUUCAAGUGCUAAAUGUGUUUUAGUAUUUGGUGACCAAGGCAUAUUCCAGUAUCUAUACAUGUGCGCAUACUGAAAGUCUGAAAUUGGCUGUAACUGUAUAGUUACAAGGCAGUGACAUAACAGUAUAUGUAUAUACAAAUUUAGAGUACAUAUGGUUAAAGUAGAGGCUUGGGAGCAAUUAUUCUCUUAGUAAUAAAUCACGAGUUGGCUGCUUCUUCAAUGGCGUGUCAUACAUUCUACUAAUGUACAGCUCAUGUCUUCUGGGAUCAAACUAAGCUUUGAAUUUACAAGAGUGAAGACUUAUGUGAGAAGUACAACAAACCGUGUUCAGUUUUAACUAGCAUAAAAAUUAUGCCUCUGCAUUACUUCACCGAUUCUAACAAUUUUUAUUUUUAUUUUGCGGGUGAGAUUCUAACAAAGUUUCUUACACUCGAUUGAACUUGUUUGUAAACCUUGGGGGUUGAUAGCAUCCUGACAUCGAUCAGCACGAGUGGCUCAACUAAACUAAAAUUCCACGACUGACUUGUGACUUGUGAGCAACAGUAGCAGAGCAGAGCUAUUCUCUUUGAUCGAAGCUACAGUACCAAACAAGAUCAAGAUCAAGGUUGUCAGAAUCGUGAUUCUGAAUCGGAUCGGAACUUCAAUGUUAGGAUCGCAAAUCGUUGAAUCUUCACUAUCAAGAUCGUAGAAACGUAGAUUCUAUGAGCUAAAAUUGUACAAUCAAAGGGAUUAGCUUGGAUCGUAAAAUCGUAGAAUCGUACCACAAAAUCGCGAUUCUGCCAACCUUGAUCAAGAUUGUAUGGCUGGAAUCAGUAAAUCAGGUUCUCCCGACCCAAAGCAACGAGAGCCUUCUGAUUCUUAAUUUUCUUGUGAAGAAUCAUCAGGUUAUUUCUGUCAUGGAAAAUGGAAACUUCUGCGAGGACAGACAUGACACAGAACACGCAAGGAUAAUAACUGUACUAAUGCAAGUGGAUCAUGUUCUAGUAGUUACUCCCUUCGAUCCAAAUUAGCUGUUGCUAAAAUGGGUGUAUCUAGUACUAAAAUACGUCUAGAUACGUCGACCAAAUUUGCUCGCGGAGGAUGGCUCUCCUCUCCUCUCCUCCCCCCUCCCAACUCCGGUUCUCCACCACACCGCCCCCAGCCCAACUCCGGUCGCCGCAAGCUCUCCCCAUGACCAUACGCUCACCACCAGCCCCCCGGAUGCUCUGCGCCCCUCCGUUGCGCCACCACCAUCACCUUUCUUUGACCCCCCCUACGUCAAAGCCGGGCAGGUGGCUCUCCGAUGCUUCCUGGGCUGCGGCAACGCCAUGGGGCUGGAAUUCGAGGAUGACUGCAGUUACUACUGCCGUCUUGCAGUCACCACGCCGGCGCUGCACCUUCCGUCGCCCCUCUACCUCAUCUUCGAGUUCUCCAACCGCCACCUUGACGCCAUCACGGUAGCCGCUCUGCUCCAAGCUGCCCUUGGUGGCUGCGCCGCCGACUUCUUCGUCGCUCAGUGCUCCCCCUGUUCUUCCGCUUCCAUGUGGCUACUCCGCGAGUCGGAGAGAUCAUCCUAGACCAAAAACCAAUCCGCCAUCAUAACUACGCCUUCUCCUUCGCUCGCUCACUACCUCUGCUUCCACCCACGCCUGCCGCGCCCGCUUCAUGCAUGUCGCUCGCCACCCUGCUGCAAAUUCCAGAAGACCUCUGCCUUCAUUUUGAAGGUGUGGUCUCCACGCAACUCCGGUCGACUGUCACCAUCGACCCAUGCCCCAACCGCCAUGGAUGCCGCAUGUAUGCUCGCGUCAUCCAAUUCCCGUUUACCCUAUACACUCAUUCCAUGGCCCUCAUCCUCGCCCGCCUCUUCGGUGGCUGCUUCUCCCACUUCAACGUCACCGACGAGGGAGACUCUUGCUUCUCUUUCACCGUUGCCAACCCCGUAGUUGCCAACCUCGUCGCUGCCAUGGGCGAUUUCCACAAAAGAGGCAUGUUGAUCCGCUUCCCUCGUCCGCCUACCCCCCGCACGCUCGCCCGCUGGAAAGGCCGAGCCCCCCGUGCAUGGAGCCAUGGCUUCCCUCCCGACGACGAACAUCUCUGCUUCUCUGCCACCACCGUCAACAGCCCUUGAUCUACCCAAGGUUAGACACGCUCGACCUGGUAUUAGCUUUUUUAUCGUAUGUUGCAUGCUAAUCACCCUAAUCAGCCACCAACACAUAUGCACUACACCUCUCACACCCACUGUUUCUGGGUCACCUUCGUGCCAAUAUCGGUUAGCCCUAAUGAAGUGCUUGUCGAGUCAGCUCUAAACCACUGUUUUUCGGUCAAACGAGAUUUGCAUGCAAUCAAGGUACAUGACCUCAUUUUCAAAACUGGCAUCUUCUCCAGCUUCGCAAAGGUUCGAAUUCUCAAAUAUGGGUCGCUAGACUUUUCCGGGUUUCGUCUCUUCCUCUUUGACCAGCUUGACGAUCUGGUUGCUCACUGCGGCCGGCACCUAGCACUAUAUCAAUCUUAUUCUCAUACCCCGCUCCCACCAUGCUCCGUCUCUGUCUUGGGCCCCUCCGUGCCUCCCUGCCCACCCAUGCACGGCCCGACCCCAGCCGCCCUCACGAGCGACCCGCACGUCCCCUCACCCAUGCAGGAUCGGCGGGCCCACCCCAUGCACAAUGAUGGCUGCGCAGCGGCGUCAGGUGGACCAAAUCCUCCCAAAGAUCCGUACGCACCACGCGCGGAGAUGCAUGCGUGCGUCGCUCUCGCUAGAACCCAGGCACCCCCUUUUGUCUCUCUGUCUGUGCCAAAUCGGGCUCCCCCACUGCCCCCACCCACAUCUAAUCCGGACGGCGUUGCGCCGCCCUCUGUCUCCCCCCGCCUGGCCACUGUUGCCACCCCGUGUCAGGAUACUGCAUUGGGAACCGAUGGAAUUGCACGGUCUUGCACUCGCUCGCCCACGCCGCCCCCUCAACCUACCCCUAGCCAACAUCUAGCUAUCAUCAUCGCUCCUACACCGGCGCUGCAGCCUAAUCCGCCUGCUCGAUCUCCANNNNNNNNNNNNNNNNNNNNNNNNNNNNNNNNNNNNNNNNNNNNNNNNNNNNNNNNNNNNNNNNNNNNNNNNNNNNNNNNNNNNNNNNNNNNNNNNNNNNNNNNNNNNNNNNNNNNNNNNNNNNNNNNNNNNNNNNNNNNNNNNNNNNNNNNNNNNNNNNNNNNNNNNNNNNNNNNNNNNNNNNNNNNNNNNNNNNNNNNNNNNNNNNNNNNNNNNNNNNNNNNNNNNNNNNNNNNNNNNNNNNNNNNNNNNNNNNNNNNNNNNNNNNNNNNNNNNNNNNNNNNNNNNNNNNNNNNNNNNNNNNNNNNNNNNNNNNNNNNNNNNNNNNNNNNNNNNNNNNNNNNNNNNNNNNNNNNNNNNNNNNNNNNNNNNNNNNNNNNNNNNNNNNNNNNNNNNNNNNNNNNNNNNNNNNNNNNNNNNNNNNNNNNNNNNNNNNNNNNNNNNNNNNNNNNNNNNNNNNNNNNNNNNNNNNNCUCUGCCACAAGAUACGCCGCCCAUACGGUCCAACAGCGCCAUGACGACCCCCUAUCAAGACGCACUCCUCUCCUCCCCCCGUGCCCAUAGCCACCCCCAGCUACGCCCCAUAUAUAUACCACGCCGGCCCCUCUCCCCUCUCCAUCGCCAUCCUCAUCCACCACAAUCCUCGCUCAAAAAACGUCGUUGCUUCCGCUGCCUCGCUCUCGACCACACCGUCGAGACUUGCCGUGACCCCGUCCGCUGCGCUCGCUGCUGGCGGAACGGCCACCGCAGCCGCGACUGCAGGUAUCUCCGGAUCUGGCCUUGCGUUCCUCCUCUCCCCGAUUCUUUUCCCUCAAACCCUAACCCCGCCUUCUGUCGUCGCAGGAUGAACCACGGCAGCUCUUCCUCGGCCACGGCCCGCGUCCCCCGCACCCUCAUGAUCGGAGAGGUCCCCAUCAUCCUGUCUGAGCCAUUCCCUACGGUCCGCGUCCCAUCCCCAUUCGUCCUCCAUGGCGUCCCCAUCGACGCCGACGGUGUUCCCCCGCCUCCUCCCUCACCACCACGCACAUCUGCACCUCCCCCAACCCCCACCACCCCGCACCACCACCUCUCCCACAACACUCCUUUCGACACCCAUGCCCUCAGAGCACGCCUCUCCGACAUCUUCACUGCCUCUCAGUUUGCCAGGGCCGAAUCCCACGUUUCGAACUCCGAGCCGGACGAAGAGCUACCUCGCCCUGAACGCGUGGCUGGCCUGCUCCCGCCCUAUGGUGAUAUGCCGCUCGUCGCCGCCCCGCCAUGCCUUGUCCAUUGCCCCCGCCGCUUUGCUUUCGCACACCUGCAAACCCCCGUUCCCAACCCCACCCCUCUCAUCUGCCACGCUAUCCAGCACACCUGCGGCAACCCGGCCUUCAUCUUGGGCGGCUCUUGGCGCGGGGUAGAAUGCAUCACUUUCCACACUCCCACAGCACGCAACGACGUCAUCUGCCACAGUCCCAUAGAAUUUGAGGGCAACAUGGUUACUAUUGAGCCAGUAGAACACGCCUUGCCAUUUUCACCGACCUAGCCGAGAUCGAGGUGUCAGAAUUCCCACAUGAGCUCUAGCACAACGACGGCAUCCGCUUCGCACUAGCGUUCCUUGGUGACGUCUGUGCCGUUGAUGACUUCUGUCUUCACGGCAUCGACUACACCUCGGUCCGUGCCCUCGUCCUGCUCCAGUCCGGCAAGCCGGCUCCACCUGGCCUAGUCAUCCAGCUCCCACCCAUCAACGAGAUGAAAAUAGCCAAGGUUGUCGAGGUAUCUCGCUGGCACCACGGCGAUGGCGCCAACCCCUUCGGUGGCAACUCCUCCGAUGGCAACUCUGCUCCUCUCUCCCAGCGCGGCUCACCAUGCCCGCUCUCACCUGAAAACUUCACUCCGGUGGUCUCUGCUGUCAGGGCGGGCUGGCGCGCGGACCCCACCUACGGCGGGACUAGGCCGGUUGCCCGCCGCCUCUCUCCCGAUGCACGUGCCCUCCAUACUUCUCCUAGCGGCGCUAGCAGUGACCCCGCCUUGUCGGCUGUCCUUCCUCCCCCUGGAUCUGCACGUGACCCGCUUGUCGUCUCUGACGACGACUCGGCCGGCUCGGAAGGCAUGCACGUUCCCCUCCUGCAUGCAGUCACCUCGGACUCCCUGGAUGCGGUGCAUGCACCCGUGGUGGCGGUCCUGGCUCCACCUGUCAUCCGCCCGCUGCCCAGGGUGGCAGCCGUUGACCCUCCUGCUCCACAUGUUGACGCGGGGGCCGGCGUGGUGGCGGGCCACGUGCUCCACCCCGACACGUCGGCCUUUGCCCUCGUCGCUCCGGCCGCGCCAGUGAUACGUACAUUUUGCAUCAUGAUUUUAUAUCAUAAUUUAUUGCAUUAUGGGCUGUUAUUACACAUUAUGUAAAAUACUUAUGCCUAUUCUCUUUUAUUUUACAAGGUUUACAUAAGGAGGGAGAAUGCCGGCAGCUGGAAUUCUGGGCUGGAAAAGGAGCAAAUAUUAGAGACCUAUUCUGCACAACUCGAAAAGUCCUGAAACUCCACGAAAGUUAUUUUUGGAAAUAAUAAAAAAUACUGAGCGGAAGAAAUACGUCAGGGGGGCCACCACCCGUCCACGAGGGUGGGGGGGGCGCGCCCUNNNNNNNNNNNNNNNNNNNNNNNNNNNNNNNNNNNNNNNNNNNNNNNNNNNNNNNNNNNNNNNNNNNNNNNNNNNNNNNNNNNNNNNNNNNNNNNNNNNNNNNNNNNNNNNNNNNNNNNNNNNNNNNNNNNNNNNNNNNNNNNNNNNNNNNNNNNNNNNNNNNNNNNNNNNNNNNNNNNNNNNNNNNNNNNNNNNNNNNNNNNNNNNNNNNNNNNNNNNNNCUUCUGCUAUAUGAAGUCUUUCGCCCGAAGAAAAAUCAUAAGCAAGCUUUCGGGACGAGACUCCGCCUCCACGAGGCGGAACCUUGGCGGAACCAAUCUAGGGCUCCGGCAGAGCUGUUCUGCCGGGACACUUCCCUCCGGGAGGGGGAAAUCAUCGCCAUCAUCAUAACCAACGCUCCUCUCAUCGGGAGACGGCAAUCUCCAUCAACAUUGUCGGAGUAAAUGACCACGGGUAGCCUAACCGACUCCCCCUGGCACUUCAAGAAAUUAUCAAGCCAAUCGAGCCUUCAAGCAUCCAAAACCACAGGGCCGCCUUUCCCUGGUCAGCUAUCUCAUAGGCCGAUUACUGGAAGGCGACCCGACCUCAAAAACCUUCUCGAAGAUAACCAUAAGAUGGCCGACUCCAGGAAGCCGGCCCCAAGUGGACCGACUCCCAGAAGCCGGCCACAAGAAGGCCGACUCCCAGAAGCUGGCCACAAUAAGGCCGACUCCCAGAAGCCGGCCACAAGAAGGCCGACUCCCAGAAGCCGGCCACAAGAAGGCUAACUCCCAGAGGCCGACCAAGACUGCGCCCUCAAAGGCCGCACCCACAUAACGGUGAUGAGACGGGGCGUGGCUACAGUACAGCCUGCCACCCCCGAAUCCUGGAGCACGCGAGGCCACAGUGCGCCGUAUGGGUCGGCCAUCCCCCGUCCGGCGCGGCACUGUUGCCAUGUUGACCAUGACGCCACCCACGACAGGUGCCAGUACGGCCCGUGGGCGGCGGGCCCCUUCAACCAGAGAGAUGCUCGAAGGUGGCCAGGCCUUCCCCAGUCGGCCUGGGGCGUAGCCGGCUCCCAAUAGCCGGCCACCUCCCUCCCUCGAAGUAUGUGCAUCAUUAAGGAGACAAGACGAGGUAAGGCUACAAUGAUAGCCCGCCAGGCGGCGGCACUGUAGCCAUGCUUACCUCGACGAAGCCCGUGUCAUCAGGGGCGAGGCUACAGUAAUCAGCCACCGACAAGGCCCCCAGGCGGUGGGGCCGGCCUGUCGGCCGAGAGGCCGGCAGCCGGCGGGACCCACCAGUCGGCGGGCCCCAGCAGUCGGCGGAGAAGCCGGCGAAUACAGACACUGACGGCCAGGACCCGCAUCUAGCCGGAUUACCAUUGUACCCCUGGGGGGUAGGCCUAUAUAAACCCCCCAGGGCACCCAUGCAAAGGAGUUGAUCUCAGAUAGUUUUAGACACCACAUAGAGAGAAAAGGAGAGCUAGCCUUGCCCUUCUUCUUCCUCUAGCCAAACUGCUCAAGGAGCCUCUUGUAGCUACGUGUAUUGAUCUACUGAUCAUGCGGAGACCCCGCAGAGCAGGAUUAGGGGUGUUAUCUCCACGGAGAGCCCCGAACCUGGGUAAGAUCCGCCGGCGUGCAUGUCUUCGCCUUAUCCCGCUUCCAGGCACAGGCGAUGUCUUACUGGCUCCCACAAUGAUAAGCCACCCGUUGGCAUAUGUCGCACCUACCACCCGACAUUUGGCGCCCACCGUGGGGCCGGGUGCACCGUCGUCCGGAGACCUGUUCUGGACAGGAACCCUUUUCCUCCCCCGCGAGCGUAGCCAGCCCGCCACGCCCGAUGGCGCUUGCCCCGACGCGCUGAGAGGCAUCGACGACGCCUGCGCAGCGAGCUGCCUCGCCGAUCUUCUUGGCGAAGCUCGCAUCUCCGACGAGCCUGCGUCCGACACGGGCACAGACUGCCCCGAGAGCCGCCUCGUCAGCCUCCUCGACCAGCUACACGUCUCCAGCGAGCUUGCUGUGGACUUGGAGUCGGUCGGCUCCACCGACCCGAUGCUGGUCGACUCCGACACGGCAUCGCUUGAUGCCUUCCCGGACCAACGUGGUGAUCAUCGACGACCCUCUCCCUCGAGCCAACAGUGGCAGCAGCGCUGUCACUGAGGUGUUGGUCAUCAGCCACGGCGCCGUCUCCGACGAGAACGCCCACGACGCCCUAGAAGCGGCGCUGCACGACUUGUCCGUCCCCAUCCCGGCUGACGCCGACGCCGAGACACUGGAGGCACGCCGCCUCGCCCUUGUCGCGGAAGGCCAGAAGAUAGCAUCCAUGAGACCCCUCACUGAGGCUCACCAGCGCGAAGUCGACCGCGCCGCCUUCGAUACGCCGCCUCCUGGCGGGCCGAGCUGCGCCGGCUUCGUCAAGAAGCGCGGUGCAGCCAUCGCCAGCAUGCUGGGAGAAGACCGCCCAGUCUACGCCACGCCACUCGAGAACCUGCAUGCCGCUCAGUCGGUCGUAGACGAGCUGAACGGGCUGGGGGCCGAUGAGCUUCCCUACAUGACUAGACGCAUCCAGCAGCUGAUCGACACAGCCGCAGAGCGGCAUGAAGCCAGCGCCCGCGCUGAAAGUCCUCCCCAACGCCGAGAGCACGGCGCGACAUCUCGGACGCCGACCGCAGACGGCGCCCGCGCAAGAAAAGACAAGGAGCCGGCUGCUAGCCGCAGUCGGACUCGGCUCACCAUCGAGCGCGACGCAGAAGGCCGCCCCUGAGCUGUGGAACGACGAGGCGAUCCGCCUCCUCCCCCACCUCGUGGGGAGAAAUAUCCUACAACACCGCCUGUCACGCAUCCGACUCUCGGCGGCCGGCUAAGCCACCGCGAGGGAGUCGGUGAGAAUGAUGCCCGCCACCGGAUCAACCGCCUAGCGCGAUCCCUGGCACUAGAAGAAGAAGAUGAUGUCGGCCCGCCUUGCUUUGGCCCCCGCAUCCGCGACGAGCCCUGCCCCAAAGGGUUCUCGCUCCCAAGAGACACGCCAAAAUACAACGGCUCCGUGAAGCCAGAAGACUGGUUGAUCGACUACUCCACUGCAGUCAGCAUAGCGAACGGCAAUAGGCGCGUUGCCGUGAAGUAGGUCCCGCUCAUGCUUCAAGGCACGGCACGCACUUGGCUGAACAGCCUCAAGCCCUACAGCAUCAACAGCUGGCUGGACUUCACAGAAGUCUUCAUCCGCAACUUCACCAGCACGUAUAAGCGGCCUCCCAAGCCCCGCCAGCUCUCCUUGUGCGUCCAAGGGCCCAGCGAAUCAACUCGCGACUACCUCACGCGUUGGGGCGAGCUCCGCAACUCCUGCGAGGGGGUGCACGAGGUUCAAGCCAUAGAGUACUUCACCGUCGGGUGCCGAGAGGGCGCCCUCCUCAAGCACCGACUACUCUGCGACGAGCCGACUACCCUCGACGAGCUGCUGAUCAUAGCAGACAAGUACGCCACGGCCGACUCCUCAAUGAAGAACGAGCUUCAAGUGGAUGCCUCUGGAAAGGUGCUCGCUCCGGCUCCCAAGACGCCGGCUGGUAAAUCCAACCGAUGCCCUUACCAGAGCGACAACAAGCGCAAGGCCUCUAUGCCCCCUUCCACCAGUCGGCAAGUAGCCACAGUCGAAGACGAAUGACCUGAAGAGCGGCCCGCGCCCAAGCAGCAGAAUGGCGGCAGGCCGGCUUGGAAGUUCCACAGCGGCGCGAAGCCGUCCAACCACACGACCCGGAAGUGCCAUUGGCUCACGCGGAUCUCCAAGGGCGAGGGGCUGGUGCCGCCUCCAGCCCCUCAGCAGCCGGCUGUUCGCCCAGCAGUCGGAGCCAUUCAAGAUGAGUUCCCAGACGAGCACGCCGCCUACGUCGUCUUCACAAGCCAAAUUGAAGACAGGCGCAGUCGGCGCCGACAGCACCAAGAAGUCAACGCGGUCGCCUCCAACAACCCCGAGUUCAUGCAUUGGUCUGAGAAGCCCAUCAGCUGGAGCCAGGCUGAUCACCCAGAGGUGAUGCCGUCUCCUGGCUCCUAUGCAUUGGUGUUGGACGCCACCCUCGCGACAGAAAGGCGAGCUGCCCGUUUCUCCCGUGUGCUGAUUGACGGCGGGAGCAGUAUCAACAUAUUGUACUGUGACACCAUGGAGAAGCUGAACCUCAAGACGAAGCAACUCAUGCCAAGCCGGACUGUGUUCCAUGGUAUCGUACCCGGCCUGUCCUGUUCCCCAAUCGGCAAGAUCAAGAUGGAUGUUCUCUUCGGAGACAAGAAUCACUUCCGCCGAGAGGUGAUCUGGUUUGAAGUGGUGGAUCUAGAGAGCCCUUACCACGCAUUGCUUGGCCGACCUGCCCUGGCCAAGUUCAUGGUUGUGCCCCACUACGCCUACCUCAAGAUGAAGAUGCCGAGUUCGAAGGGGAUCAUCACCAUAGCCGGAGACUACAAGAAAUCUUCCGAGUGUGCUGCAGCCAGCAGCCCGCUAGCCGAGUCCCUCGUGAUUGCUGAAGAAAAGAAGAUGCUGGACCGAGUCGUGGCCAUGGACGGCAAGCAGCCGGCCCUGUCCCCCGAUCCCAAGGAGUAUGACGCUCAAGGCUCCUUCCAGCCAGCCAAGGAAACCAAGAAGAUACCGCUGGACCCGGAGAACCCGGAGAGGUUUGAUGUCAUUGGGGCAAACCUGGACAGCAAAUAGGAAGGCGAGCUCGUCGACUUCCUCCGUGAGAAUCGGGACAUCUUUGCAUGGUCCCCAAAGGACAUGCCAGGUGUUUCGAAGGAUUUCACCGAGCACAAACUACACGUUUGAGCAGACGCAAAACCAGUCAAGCAACCCCUCCGCCGACUGUCGGAAGAGAAGAGAAGGAUUGUAGGAGAAGAUAUAGCCCGGCUCCUGGCAGCCGGCUUCAUUAUGGAGGUGUUUUUUCCAGAUUGGCUUGCCAACCCGGUCCUGGUGUUGAAGAAAAACAAUAAAUGGCGCAUGUGCAUAGAUUACACCAGCCUCAACAAAGCCUGCCCCAAAGAUCUGUUUGCCUUACCACGAAUCGAUCAAGUGAUAGACUCCACAGCCGGAUGCGAGCUGUUGAGUUUCUUGGAUGCUUACUCAGGCUACCACCAGAUCAAGUUGGAUCCAGCCGACCACCUGAACACCGCCUUCAUCACACCAUUCGGAGCUUUCUGCUACCUGACUAUGACAUUCGGCUUGAGAAAUGCCGGUGCCACUUUUCAGCGUUGCAUGCAGAAAUGCCUCCUCAAGCAACUCGGCAGAAAUUCCCACGUCUAUGUAGACGAUAUUGUGGUGAAGACGGAGAAGCGCGGCACCCUGCUGGAAGACCUCAGAGAAACAUUUGCCAACUUGCGCCGGUUUCAGAUCAAGCUCAACCCUGAGAAAUGCGUGUUCGGAGUGCCAGCCAGCCAGCUUCUAGGCUUUUUGGUCUCCAAACGCGGCAUCGAGUGCAACCCAGUGAAGAUCAAGGCCAUAGAGAGAAUGGAGAUUCCUACCAAGCUGCGAGACGUUCAGAAGUUUACCGGUAGCCUGGCCUCCCUAAACCGCUUCAUCAGCCGGCUAGGAGAGAAGGCUCUCCCCGUGUACCGACUCAUGAAGAAGUCCACCCACUUCGAGUGGAACGACCAAGCAAACCAAGCUUUCCACGAGUUGAAGAAGAUGCUGACCACGCUGCCUGUCCUGGCAGCGCCGACUGAGAAAGAGCCCAUGCUCCUUUACAUUGCCGCGAUUAGCCGAGUGGUCAGCACAGUGAUUGUGGUCCAACGCCUAGAAGAAGGCCGAGCUCAGUUAGUCCAGAGGCCGGUAUAUUAUUUGAGCGAAGUACUGUCCACCUCGAAGCAAAACUACCCGCACUACCAGAAGAUGUGCUAUGGAGUAUACUUCGCUGCCUAGAAGCUGAAGCCCUACUUUCAAGAGCAUCCCAUCACGGUCGUAUGCACGGCCCCGCUUGCCGAGAUCAUAGGCAGCCGGGAUGCAUCCGGCCGGGUGGCUAAGUGGGCCAUUGCGCUGGCUCCCUACACGAUCUUCUACUAGCCCCGCACCACCAUCAAGUCCCAAGCAUUGGCCGACUUCCUUGUCGACUGGGCCGAGACCCAGUACCUACCGCCGGCUCCCGACUCCACUCAUUGGCGGAUGCACUUCGAUGGGUCCAAGAUGCGCACCGGCUUGGGAGCCGGCAUCGUCCUUACCUCCCCCAAGGGCGACAAACUCAGAUACACACUGCAAAUUCAUUUUGCCGCCUCCAACAAUGUGGCCGAGUAUGAGGCGCUCAUACACGGGCUCCGGCUAGCCAAAGAGUUCGGCAUACGCCGGAUCCUGUGCUAUGGCGACUCGGAUCUAGUAGUCCAACAAUCAUCCAGCGAUUGGGACGCCAAGGACGCAAACAUGGCGAGCUACCGAUUCCUCGUCCAGCAAAUCUGCGGAUACUUUGAAGGAUGCGAGCUCCUCCACGUGCCACGGGCCGACAAUGAGCAAGCAGAUGCCCUGGCACGGAUCGGCUCCACCCGACAAGCUAUACCAACCGGCGUCUCUCUCCAACGCCUCCUCAAACCGUCUGUCAAGUCGUCUCUAGAAUCAGACUCCAUCUUCGUACCGCCUGCCCCUGAUGCAGUCGGAUCCGACUUGGGGAACCCAGCACCCGGCUCGGGGACUUUGACAGGCGGCCCGGGGACUGCGUAGUCACACCCGGCUCGGGGACUUCAGAACCCAGCCCGGGGACUGCAGCAGUCGGCCCGGGGACUGCAACGACACAACAGGCGGCGGCCGACUCCAACUCUUCACCACCCAACCCACCCACCCGGGUCACAGUAGCCGUAUGGCAAUAGAAGAAGUCAUAGCUCCAUCAUGGGCCCAACCCAUCCUCAACUUCUUGGUAAACAGAGAGCUACCGACUGACGAGAUCUCGGCAAGACAAGUUCAACGCCGAGCCGGAGCAUACACAAUAAUAAACAGAGAACUCGUUAAGCGCAGUGUCACUGGAGUCUUCCAGCGCUGCUUCGAGCCAGAGAAGGGCAUAGCAAUCCUCAAGGAUAUCCACCAAGGCGAAUGCGGCCACCACGCGGCCUCAAGAUCACUUGUCGCUAAAGCUUUCCGCCAUGGUUUCUUCUGGCCGACUGCUUUGGAGGACGCCAAGGAAUUAGUCAAAUGCUGCAAAGGGUGCCAAGUGUUCAGCUCCAAGCAACACCUGCCGGCUUCCGCACUCAAGACCACCCCCCUCACCUGGCCCUUUGCCGUCUGGGGGUUGGACAUGGUGGGCCCAUUCAAGACGGCGCGCGGCGGCAUGACUCAUCUGCUUGUCGCCGUGGACAAAUUCACCAAGUGGGUUGAAGCGAAGCCAAUCAAGAAGCUGAACGGGCCGACUGCCGUGACAUUCAUCGCAGAUAUCACCACCCGGUAUGGCAUACCACACAGCAUCAUCACCGACAAUGGCACGAAUUUUUCCAAAGGAGCACUGGCACGUUUCUGCGCGACACAGGGCAUCCGACUGGACUUAGCAUCCGUUGCCCACCCGCAGUCAAACGGCCAAGUCGAGCGAGCAAACGGCCUCAUCCUCUCCGGCAUCAAGCCCCGGCUGGUCGUACCACUGGAGCGUUCGGUUGGCUGCUGGCUCGAUGAGCUCCCGGCUGUCCUCUGGAGUCUGCGUACUACCCCGAACAAGUCAACCGGCUUCACUCCUUUCUUCCUUGUAUAUGGUGCCGAGGCUGUCAUCCCAACUGACAUCGAGUUCGACUCGGCUCGAGUCACCAUGUACACGAAGGUGGAGGCCCAGGAAGCGCGAGAAGACGGCGUCGACCUGCUGGAAGAGGGCCGGUUGUUAGCACUCAGCCGGUCCGCUAUCUACCAGCAGGGUUUGCGCCGUUACCACAACCGGAAGGUCAAGCCAAGAUCCUUCCAAGAAGGCGAUCUUGUGCUCCGGCUGAUCCAGCGAACAGCCGGCCAGCACAAGCUAUCGGCCCCUUGGGAAGGCCCCUUCGUCGUCAGCAAGGCCCUAGGCAACGACUCCUACUACCUGAUCGACGCACAGAAGCCGAAGGCACGCAAGAGAGAUGAUUCCGGCAAGGAGUCGGAACGACCAUGGAACGCCAAUCUCCUCAGAAGACUUUACAGUUGAAGGCAGUAUGUACCAUGCUACCUUUUUGUAUUAAGUACAAGACAACGGGCCCCCCGAGGUAUACUCGGGGACUACCCUCUUUUAUCUAUGUAUGACGAGUGUCAUACCUAUGAAUGUAUUGUUACAUUUGAUUUUCUGUCCGGCACCGGGUUCGACCAGUCGGCCCGGGGACUUGCCGCCUUGAGUUAUAUUAAAGUUCUACCUGCAGUCAGACAAGUAGUGUGCCAGCACCUGAGCCCUCUCUUGUUGAAAGUCACAGCUCGAAGAACCGACUGACCGACUGGCAAGAGCCGAAGGCAGGAAAGGAUGCCCACACGAAAAACGGCUAAGGACUAAUGAACCUAUAUAACACAAGCCUGCCUCCCAGCACGCCUACCGGCUGUCAGAACAGCCGGCUGGCCGGCUACCCAUUCACUUUGCUACAAUCCAAGAAAGCUAGAGUACUUCCCCUCCCAACCGGCCAAGCACUUCUCUGUUGGGGAACGUAGUAAUUUCAAAAAAAUUCUACGCACACGCAAGAUCAUGGUGAUGCAUAGCAACGAGAGGGGAGAGUGUUGUCCACGUACCCACGUAGACCGAUAGCGGAAGCGUUUAACACAACACGGUUGAUGUAGUCGUACGUCUUCACGAUCCGACCGAUCAAGUACCGAACGCACGGCACCUCCGAGUUCAGCACACGUUUAGCUCGAUGACGUCCCUCGAAUUCCGAUCCAGCCGAGUGUUGAGGGAGAGUUUCGUCAGCACGACGGCGUGGUGACAAUGUUGAUGUUCUACCAACGCAGGGCUUCGUCUAAGCACCGCUAUGAUAUUAUCGAGGUGUAAUAUGGUGGAGGGGGGCACCGCACACGGCUAAGAGAUCAAUGAUCAAUUGUGUGUAUAGAGGUGCCCCCUGCCCCCGUAUAUAAAGGAGCAAAGGGGGGGGUUCGGCCGGCCUAGAGGAGAGGCACGCCAGGAGGAGUCCUACUCCUACCGGGAGUAGGACUCCUCCCCUUUUCCAUGUUGGACUAGGAGAGAAAGGGGGAAGAGGUGGAGGGGAGGAAGGAAGGGGGGGCGCCGCCCCCCUCUCCUUGUCCUAUUCGGACUGGGGGGAAGGGGCACGCGGCCCUGCCCUGGCCUCCUCUCCUCUCUUCCACCUAGGCCCACUAAGGCCCAUUAAGUUACCGGGGGGUUCCGGUAACCUCCCAGUACUCCGGAAAAAUCCCGAUUUCACCCGUAACACUUCCGAUGUCCAAACAUAGGCUUCCAAUAUAUCAAUCUUUAUGUCUCGACCAUUUCGAGACUCCUCGUCAUGUCCGUGAUCACAUCCGGGACUCUGAACAACCUUCGGUACAUCAAAACAUAUAAACUCAUAAUAUAACUGUCAUCGUAACGUUAAGCGUGCGGACCCUACGGGUUCGAGAACUAUGUAGACAUGACCGAGACACCUCUCCGGUCAAUAACCAAUAGCGGAACAUGGAUGCUAAUAUUGGUUCCCACAUAUUCUACGAAGAUCUUUAUCGGUCAGACCGCAUAACAACAUACCUUGUUCCCUUUGUCAUCAGUAUGUUACUUGCCCGAGAUUCGAUCGUCGGUAUCUCGAUACCUAGUUCAAUCUCGUUACCGGCAAGUCUCUUUACUCGUUCCAUAAUACAUCAUCCCGCAACUAACUCAUUAGUCACAAUGCUUGCAAGGCUUAUAGUGAUGUGUAUUACUAAGUGGGCCCAGAGAUACCUCUCCGACAAUCGGAGUGACAAAUCCUAAUCUCGAAAUACGCCAACCCAACAAGUACCUUUGGAGACACCUGUAGAGCACCUUUAUAAUCACCCAGUUACGUUGUGACGUUUGGUAGCACACAAAGCGUUCCUCCGGUAAACGGGAGUUGCAUAAUCUCAUAGUCAUAGGAACAUGUAUAAGUUAUGAAGAAAGCAAUAGCAACAUACUAAACGAUCGAGUGCUAAGCUAACGGAAUGGGUCAAGUCAAUCACAUCAUUCUCCUAAUGAUGUGAUCCCGUUAAUCAAAUGACAACUCAUGUCUAUGGCUAGGAAACAUAACCAUCUUUGAUCAACGAGCUAGUCAAGUAGAGGCAUACUAGUGACACUCUGUUUGUCUAUGUAUUCACACAUGUAUUAUGUUUCCGGUUAAUACAAUUCUAGCAUGAAUAAUAAACAUUUAUCAUGAUAUAAGAAAAUAAAUAAUAACUUUAUUAUUGCCUCUAGGGCAUAUUUCCUUCAGUCUCCUUAGUGAUAAAGUAAAACAAUUACAUGGCGAUUGCAUUGCAUAUAAUAAAGCGACAACCAUAUGGCUCCUGCCAGUUGCCGAUAACUUGGUUACAAAACAUGAUCAUCUCAUACAAUAAAAUAUAGCAUCAUGUCUUGACCAUAUCACAUCACAACAUGCCCUGCAAAAACAAGUUAGACGUCCUCUACUUUGUUGUUGCAAGUUUUACGUGGCUGCUACGGGCUUAGCAAGAACCAUUCUUACCUACGCAUCAAAACCACAACGAUAGUUUGUCAAGUUGGUGCUGUUUUAACCUUCGCAAGGACCGGGCGUAGCCACACUCGGUUCAACUAAAGUGAGAGAGACAGACACCCGCCAGUCACCUUUAAGCAACGAGUGCUCGCAACGGUGAAACCAGUCUCGCGUAAGCGUACGCGUAAUGUCGGUCCGGGCCGCUUCAUCUCACAAUACCGCUGAACCAAAAUAUGACAUGAUGGUAAGCAGUAUGACUUAUAUCGCCCACAACUCACUUGUGUUCUACUCGUGCAUAUUACAUCAACACAUAAAACCUGGCUCGGAUGCCACUGUUGGGGAACGUAGUAAUUUCAAAAAAAUUCUACGCACACGCAAGAUCAUGGUGGUGCAUAGCAACGAGAGGGGAGAGUGUUGUCCAUGUACCCUCGUAGACCGAUAGCGGAAGCGUUUAACACAACGCGGUUGAUGUAGUCGUACGUCUUCACGAUCCGACCGAUCAAGUACCGAACGCACGGCACCUCCGAGUUCAGCACACGUUCAGCUCGAUGACGUCCCUCGAACUCCGAUCCAGCUGAGUGUUGAGGGAGAGUUUCGUCAGCACGACGGCGUGGUGACAAUGUUGAUGUUCUACCGACGCAGGGCUUCGCCUAAGCACCGCUACGAUAUUAUCGAGGUGUAAUAUGGUGGAGGGUGGCACCGCACACGGCUAAGAUUCUCCAGCCACAGACUGCAGAGGAGCUGUCCGGCUGGGAAGGCGACGACCAAGGGAGGGCGGCAAAGGAAACAGCCAAAGGAUGAAAAGCAAGAACAAUGGGAAGCCAAACACAUGCAUGAUUAUAUUUACACAAAAGGCCUUCGAAAGACCGGCACUCAACAUAGUUUGAAUACACCCCCAGUGGGUGGAACUGCGCAAAUUUAACAAAAUAUUGUUCAAAGAGUAAGAAAACAGGAAAGUAAAGGCGGCAGAUCAGGCUAAGGGUGCAACAGGUGAGUCGGGCAGGUCAGUGGAGGUGGCAGUGCCGGCUGGAGGAGUGGCCGGCUGGCGAGCCUCGGCUUGAUCAUCGCCGGCUGAAGGCAGCGCGCUCGCAUGCGCCUCGUUGCUGGAGGCACGAUCAAGUUGAGGCUGGCCGGUCGCUCCACCGUCUGGCACGGCGUCUUCACCAUCCUCUCCCUCCUCCUCUUCGCCCUCGUCGCUGGAGUCGAUCUCCUCCGCCGAGUCCUCACCAUCUGCUGGGUUCAGCCCGAACCAUUCCUCCGGCUGAGCAAUGCCGUCAUCAUCCACCUCAGGAGCAAAGACGCUGGUAUUGGUGUAGUCGGUGAUUGCCGAGGCGCGUUGGAUGAUAUCCGGCCGCACCGCCUCUAGCUCCUCCUCGGCCUCGUGCAGCCAGGUGGCCAGGUGGUCCAAGCUUAGCUCGGGAUACCAAGCUUUGACGAACUCCAGCGCCCGCCUGGCACCUGACCGAGCAGCAGAAGCCUUCCAGGCCUCAAAGCGGCCGGCCGCUACCUCCAGCCAGUCGGCAGUCCGACUGGGAGUGCGGGGAAUCACCUCGCCGGGCCAGAGGGCGGCCAGCACUUGCGCCCCAACACGUUGAAGCCGGCGGAGCAUGCGGUGAGCCGGCUGGAGGCGGGCUUGAAUCGCCAGGAGCUGUUCAUCAAGCGACUGGCGAGCGUUCGGCGCGAUCUCAGCGCCAGCCUGCCUUUGCGCCUCGCGGUGGGCCUCGAUGACCUGGUUGGCGGCAGUAGAGUAACCAGGGAAGUACUCUGCACAAGAAAGAAAGAAAGAGAACAAAGAGAAAAAUACAAAGUUAAAGAAUGAACCAAAUGGCAAGCGGCAAGCAAGGAACGAAGAAGAAGGCGGCCUACUGUCAACCAAGUCUUCGAUCUGGCCGUAGCCGUUGAUCAACGACUACCUCGCUUCAGCCCAGCUCGCCGCCUCGGUCUCGUACUCGGCUUGGAGGGCGGCCUCACUGUCCUGCACCGCCUUCAGGGCCGCCUUGUGGCUCUCCUCCUGGUCGGCCAGCCUCUUGACCAAGCGGUCACGCUCCUGAGCCAAGGCGUCGAACUCGGCUUCCUUGGCGCGAAGGGUGGUCUGGGUCCCACCCAGCUGCCCCCUCAGGUUGGCAUUGGCCUCUGCAGAUAUGGCAAAGAAGAAAAAAGCAAUAAGAAAGAAGUCGCCAGGAAAGAUCCGACCCGACUGCUCAGCAGUCGGCCCGAGUCUCGGGGACUACACCCAGUGGGUGCGCUGAUGCACCCCCACGUGAGAUAAAAGAUGAAGCACUCACGCCGGCUCUUAGUUAGAUCAGCGGUCUUCUGGGUCAGCUCCCGAGCCUGGGAGUUGAAGGCAGCCGCGCGGAGGUUAUGGUAGUCCUGCAAGUCGGACAAAGAAGCAAACAAGAGCAAGAUAAGCAAUCAAAGUCUACUAAGAAGUUCCAAGCCGCCUGCUUAGCAGCUGACUCAGAACUCGGGGACUACACCCAGUGGGUGCGCUGACGCGCCCCCACGGGAGAAAUCAAGAUCAAGAAACAAAAAAGCGAGAAGACUUACCCGAAUGGCCGUCCGUGUUGCGAGGAACUCUUGGUUGUACUGCCUCAGCACGGCGGCCUGGGACUGAAGCCGGUUCCGGACUUCUUGCGCCACCAUGUUUACCACGGCCGUCCCACCACCCGGCGUCCACCCCGAGCUGGCGCUGGCCGUCUCCAGAUCCUGAGCCGACGUGCUAGAGCCCGCGUCCUUCUGCCGGUCCGGCGCCGAAGCCGCCUUCCCCGCGUGUUGGCGCGAUGGCGUCCGGACCACCAGGUCCGUCCUCGGAGCUGGCUCGCCUCCAGCCGGUUGCGCGGGCGGCGCGUUAGGCCGGCUUCCCUGGCCCGCCCCAGUCGGCGAUGGCGGUGCCGUCUCCCUCUCCUGGACGACGACGUCGUCUUCCUCCCUCUCCAUCCCCGGCAGGUCGCCAUCGGCUUCCUCCGGCGGGGGCUCCGGGAUCUCGGGCGCCACGGCGUGCAGGGGGAUGACAAGCAAGGCCCCUGCCGCUGCCGCUGCGGCUACAGCCUCCGCCUGAGCCUUGGCCGCUGCGUCGGCUUGUGCCUUCGCCGACUCCUCCGCCAUCUCCUGCGUCGCCUUGGCGGCGGCCGCCCUCAGCUCCUCCACCUCCCGUUCCUCCCGCGCCUCCCGCGCGUUCCUCUCCGUCGCCGCUUGAAGCUCGGCACGGGGGUCCAUGCGGCGGGUGCUUGCGGAUCCUCCCGCCGAUCCAACCACGGAGGCGGCAGUGGUCCGCUCAAGAGAAAGCGGAGCCCUGUUUUUUGAGUCAAGACAAGGAUUCAGAAACCGAUAAGAAAAGAAGAAGGAAUACGCGAGAGAAUCGACACUUACGCUGAAACCUUUUGCGGCUGCUUCACCACCUUGUGGAAGCGGGCCGCCUUCGUGGCCGCCUCCUCCUGCCUGGUCGCCGCCGCUCCGCUGUUGGGCUUCUUCGGCCGACUGCCGAAUAGGCCCGACGUGGCCCGGUGCUACUGCGCAUCGCCUCGGGCAGCCGGCGCGGCAGAUGAGCCCGCGCCUUGAUCAGACGCCGGCUGGCGGCACGGGACAAUUUCCGCCUCGUCGUCAUCCGGCCAGUCGUCGAAGCUGGCUCCAAGCCCGGAGCCGCCUGCUUCGCCGCCUCCUGCCUCGGUGUUGUCGUCCAUGGUGGCCGCCCCCAAGUCAGGGUCGUCCAGGUCAUGCACCGCCCGGUCGGGGAGAAAUUGGCGGUCCGCCCCCGCUGCCCCGGCCGCCGGUCGAAGGAGAGGGCUCUGCCAAGACAAACUGACUGGUCAGAGUCGGCCAAGAAAAACUUGGUGACAAAACUAAAGAAGAGAAGAUAAAGAAAGCUUACCAUAGGCGGCGGAUUGGCACGGGAGUACGACUCCUUGCCAAACUGCCACUCCUCGGAGAGCUUGCAGUUCGCGAGAUAGUUCACCAUGUGAGCUACCUCGUCAUGAGGCAUCUCCUUGGUGCACAUCCGACUCGAAUCGAGUUGGCCACUCAUUUGACAGAUCAAAUGAGGGCGGCCUUGGAGCGGGAGCACCCGGCGCACCGCGAAGGCGGCCAGCAGGUCGGACCCGGUCAGGCCCUCCGACUGGAUCAUUACCCGGAGUCGGGCGACGGCGGCGGCUCUAGCCGGCGACAGCGUUCUGGCCCGAUAGGACCACUGGGGCCACCUCCCAGCUGGCAGGCCGGCUACGUAAGCCGGCAAGUUGACGAAGUCGCCUUGCGGGGCGACGUUCUUCACGUAGAAGUACGAUUUCUGCCAGAGCUUCACCGACUGGAUCAGCGCGAUGGCAGGGAAGGGGUUGUCGGCUAUCGGCCUCCGCAUCGCGAUGAAGGCGCUGCUCUGAGCCGGCAUGCCCUGCAUGCGGGUGCCGAGCUUGGACUGGAAGAAUUCCCCCCAGAGCUCAAGGGUGGGGAGAAUGCCAAGGAAGCCCUCGCACAGAGUGACGAAGGCGGACAGCAGCACCAUCGUGUUUGGAGUGAGGUGGUGCGGCUGGAGCUGGUAGAAUUCAAGGAAGGAGCGGAAGAAGGCGCUCGCGGGCAGGCCAAGGCCGCGCAGGAAAUGCGAGAGGAAGAUUACCCGCUUGCCUUCCUCUGGCGCCAGUGUGAUCUCCUUCUUCGGCGCAAGACGGACCCGCACCUGGUCCUUGCUGGGCAACCGCCGCGUCUUGCGGAGGAAGUCGAUGUGGUCCGCAUGGACGUUGGAGCCGUCCCAGUCUCCGCCGUGCUGCAUAACGGCAAGAAGCUGAUGAGGAAGGGCACGGAAACGGCGAAACCACGGCCCCGCGGCGGCGAAGCUGCGGGGUAGUGCGAAGACUAGAGGGACGGCGCGGCGGCGAGGGGCUGCUGCAACAAAGAAGAAGAAGAUGGUGGAGCGAGGGUGAGCGUGCGAGCGCCUGCCGCUCCCCCUCCUCCCCCUAUUUAUAGCCUCAUGCGGCGGAGCCGAGGAGGCGAGGCGAGGGGGAGAACGUGGGAUUAACUGCACCCACUCCCCCACGUCCCGCGAUCAUUACGCCCUAACGGCGUGCGGAAACUGCCGUUGGAGGGCGAACGGACCAUUUUGGGCCACAGAAGAUCCACACCUAGGCCUAGGCGUGGAAGUGGUGGGCCCCGGCCUGCGGCGGCGUCCCAUCGCACGCGUGGGCUGGCAGGCUUUUUCGGGUAUAAUUGUAUUAACUGGAAACCGUAAUACAUGUGUGAAUACAUAGACCACAACAUGUCCCUAGUAAGCCUCUAGUUGACUAGCUCGUUGAUCAAUAGAUGGUUAUGGUUUCCAGACCAUGGACAUUGGAUGUCAUUGAUAACGGGAUCACAUCAUUAGGAGAAUGAUGUGAUGGACAAGACCCAAUCCUAAGCAUAGCACAAGAUCGUGUAGUUCGUUUGCUAAGAGCUUUUCUAAUGUCAAGUAUCAUUUCCUUAGGCCAUGAGAUUGUGCAACUCCCGGAUACCGUAGGAAUGCUUUGGGUGUACCAAACGUCACAACGUAACUGGGUGGCUAUAAAGGUGCACUACAGGUAUCUCCAAAAGUGUCUGUUGGGUUGGCACGAAUCGAGACUGGGAUUUGUCACUCCGUAUGACGGAGAGGUAUCUCUGGGCCCACUCGGUAAUGCAUCAUCAUAAUGAGCUCAAUGUGACUAAGCAGUUAGUCACGGGAUCAUGCAUUACGGAAUGAGUAAAGUGACUUGCCGGUAACGAGAUUGAACGAGGUAUUGGGAUACCGACGAUCGAAUCUCGGGCAAGUAACAUACCGAUUGACAAAGGGAAUUGUAUACGGGAUUGAUUGAAUCCCCGACAUCGUGGUUCAUCCGAUGAGAUCAUCGUGGAACAUGUGGGAGCCAAUAUGGGUAUCCAGAUCCCGCUAUUGGUUAUUGGCCGGAGAGGUGUCUCGGUCAUGUCUGCAUGGUUCCCGAACCCGUAGGGUCUACACACUUAAGGUUCGGUGACGCUAGAGUUGUUAUGGGAAAUAGUUUGUGGUUACCGAAGGUUGUUCGGAGUCCCGGAUGAGAUCCCGGACAUCACGAGGAGUUCCGGAAUGGUCCGGCGGUGAAGAUCGAUAUAUUGGACGAAGGGUAUUGGAGUCCGGAAGUGUUCCGGGGAUACCCGGCUAUGGCCAGCAUGAUCGAAAGGUGUUUCGGGAGCCCCGGCAAGUGUUGGAGGGCCUCAUGGGCCAAAGGGGAAGGGGCAAACCAGCCCACUAAGGGGUGGUGCGCCCCCCACACCCUUUCCCACGUUACUUGGGGAGGUGGGGCGCCUCCACCUGGCUUGGGAGGCAAGCCUCCACCUGCUUGGCUUGGGGGGCAAGUCUCCCUAGGAUUUUCCCUAGGGAGAUCCAAUCUGCUUGGCCGUCGCCCCCUAGGGGAAACCCUAGGGCGCCUCCCCCUCUCCCCUUGCCCCUAUAUAUAGUGGAGGGGUGGGAGGGCAGCCGCACCUCUUCCCUGGCACAGCCCUCCCUCCUCCUACACCUCCGCCUUCUCCUCCGUAGUGCUUAGCGAAGCUCUGCCGGAGAACCACGAGCUCCAUUGCCACCACGCCGUCGUGCUGCUGGAGUUCUCCCUCAACUUCUCCUCUCCCCUUGCUGGAUCAAGAAGGAGGAGACGUCCCCGGGCUGUACAUGUGUUGAACGCGGAGGCGCCGUCCGUUCGGCGCUAGAUCGGACCUUCCGCGAUUUGAAUCGCCGCGAGUACGACUCCAUCAACCGUGUUCUUGUAACGCUUCCGCUUAGCGAUCUUCAAGGGUAUGAAUAUGCACUCCCUCUCUCUUGUUGCUAGCAUCUCCUAGAUUGAUCUUGGUGACACGUAGGAAAAUUUUGAAUUAUUACUACGUUCCCCAACAGUUUGUUCCUGAGGACAUGGGAGAAGUCUUGCUAUUAGUAGUCAUCUGAAUUUGGUAUUCAUUCGAUAUUUUGAUGAGAUGUAUGUUGUCUAUCCUCUAGUGGUGUUAUGUGAACAUCGACUACAUGACACUUCACCAUUAUUUGGGCCUAGAGGAAGGCAUUGGGAAGUAAAUAAGUAGAUGAUGGGUUGCUAGAGUGACAGAAGCUUAAACCCUAGUUUAUGCGUUGCUUCGUAAGGGGCUGAUUUGGAUCCAUAUGUUUCAUGCUAUGGUUAGGUUUACCUUAAUACUUUUGUUGUAGUUGCGGAUGCUUGCAAUAGAGGUUAAUCAUAACUGGGAUGCUUGUUCAAGUAAUAACAGCACCCAAGCACCGGUCCACCCACAUAUCAAAUUAUCAAAGUACCGAACGCGAAUCAUAUGAACGUGAUGAAAACUAGCUUGACGAUAAUUCCCAUGUGUCCUCGGGAGUGCUUUUCUCUAUAUAAGAGUUUGUCCAGGCUUGUCCUUUGCUACAAAAAGGAUUGGGCCACCUUGCUGUACUUUAUUUACUUUUGUUACUUGUUGCUCGUUACAAAUUAUCCUAUCACAAAACUAUCUGUUACCUAUUAUUUCAGUGCUUGCAGAGAAUACCUUGCCGAAAACCGCUUAUCUUUUCCUUCUGCUCCUCGUUGGGUUCGACACUCUUACUUAUCGAAAGGACUACGAUAGAUCCCCUAUACUUGUGGGUCAUCAAGACUCUUUUCUGGCGUUGUUGCCGGGGAGUGAAGCGCCUUUGGUAGGUGGAAUUUGGUAAGGAAAAAUUUAUAUAGUGUGCUGAAAUUUACUGUCACUUGUUACUAUGGAAAGUAAUCCUCUGAGGGGCUUGUUCGGGGUAUCUUCACCCCAACCAGUAGAGCAAAGAGUUGCUCCUCAACCUACUGAACCUACUGAAGAUGAAAAUGUUUACUUUGAAAUUCCUUCGGGUAUGUUAGAAAAACUGCUAGCUAAUCCUUUUGCAGGAGAUGGAACAAAGCAUCCUGAUGAGCACCUAAUAUAUGUGGAUGAAGUUUGUGGAUUAUUUAAGCUUGCAGGUGUGCCCGGUGAUGUUAUUAAGAAGAAGGUAUUCCCUUUAUCUUUGAAGGGAGAUGCAUUGACAUGGUAUAGGCUAUGUGAUGAUACGGGAUCAUGGAACUACAAACGAUUGAAAUUGGAAUUUCAUCAGAAAUUUUAUCCUAUGCAUCUUGUUCAUCGUGAUCGCAAUUAUAUAUAUAAUUUUUGGCCUCGCGAAGGAGAAAGCAUCGCUCAAGCUUGGGGGAGGCUUAAAUCAAUGUUAUAUUCAUGCCCCAAUCAUGAGCUCUCAAGAGAAAUGAUUGUUCAAAAUUUUUAUGCUCGGCUUUCUGAUAACAAUCGCACCAUGCUCGAUACUUCUUGUGCUGGCUCUUUUACUAUGAAGACUAUUGAAUUCAAAUGGGAUUUAUUGGAAAUAAUUAAACGCAACUCUGAAGAUUGGGAUCUCGACGAAGGUAAGGAGUCAGGUAUGACACCUAAGUUUGAUUGUGUUAAAUCUUUUAUGGAUACCGAUGUUUUCCGUAAAUUUAUCACUAAAUAUGGACUUGACUCUGAGAUAGUAGCUUCUUUCUGUGAAUCUUUUGCUACUUAUGUUGAUCUCCCCAAGGAGAAGUGGUUUAAAUAUCAUCCUCCCAUAGCCGUAAAAGUAGCUGCACCUAUUAAAGUUGAAGAAAAUACUAUCACUUAUAAUGAUCCUAUUGUUCCUACUUCUUAUGUUGAGAAACCACCUUUCCCUGUUAGGAUAAAGGAUCAUGCUAAAGCUUCAACUGUGGUCCGUAAAAGCAAUAUUAGAACUUAUACACCUCCUGAGCAAAUUAAAGUUGAACCUAAUAUUGCUAUUGUUAAAGAUCUCUUGUCUCAUAAUAUUGAUGGGCAUGUUAUUCAUUUCCGUGAUGAAACUGCUAGAAUUGCUAAACCUUGUGCUAAAGAUAAACAUAGACCUGUGGUAGGCAUGCCUGUUAUUUCUGUUAAAAUAGGAGAUCACUGUUAUCAUGGCUUAUGUGAUAUGGGUGCUAGUGCUAGUGCAAUACCUAUUGACUUAUACAAAGAAAUUAAGCAUGAUAUUGCACCUGCUGAGUUAGAAGAUAUUGAUGUCACAAUUAAGCUUGCCAAUAGAGAUAGUAUUUCACCAAUGGGAAUUGUUAGAGAUGUUGAAGUCUUGUGUGGGAAAACUAAAUAUCCUGCUGAUUUUCUUCUUCUUGGUUCCCCACAAGAUAGCUUUUGUCCCAUUAUAUUUGGUAGACCCUUCUUGAACACCGUUAAUGCUAGGAUAGACUGCGAAAAGGAUGUUGUUACUAUUGGUUUGGGUGAUAUGUCUCGUGAGUUCAAUUUCUCUAAAUUUUGUAGACAACACUGUGAAGAGGAAUUACCUAGUAAGGAUGAAAUUACUGGUCUUGCUUCUAUUGCCGUACCUCCUAGUGGUCCUUUAGAACAAUAUUUGCUAGACCAUGAAAAUGAUAUGUUUAUGAAUGAAAGAAGGGAAAUAGAUGAAGUAUUCUUUAAAAAGGAACCUAUCCUGAAACACAAUUUGCCUGUUGAAAUCCUAGGGGAUCCUCCUCCACCCAAGGGUGAUCCCGUGUUUGAGCUCAAACCGUUGCCUGAUACUCUUAAAUAUGCUUAUCUUGAUGAGAAAAAGAUAUAUCAUGUUAUUAUUAGUGCUAACCUUUCAGAGCAUGAAGAAGAGAGAUUAUUGAAAACUCUGAAGAAGCACCGUGCUGCUAUUGGAUAUACUCUUGAUGAUCUUAAGGGCAUUAGUCCCACUCUAUGUCAACAUAAAAUAAAUUUGGAGAAAGAUGCCAAACCAGUUCGUGAUCAUCAACGACGACUGAAUCCUAAGAUGAAAGAAGUGGUAAGAAAGGAAAUACUAAAGCUUCUUGAGGCAGGUAUUAUUUAUCCCGUUGCUGAUAGUCAGUGGGUAAGUCCAGUCCAUUGUGUCCCUAAGAAGGGAGGUAUUACCGUAGUUCCUAACGAUAAAGAUGAAUUGAUUCCGCAAAGAAUUAUUACAGGUUAUAGGAUGGUAAUUGAUUUCCGCAAAUUAAAUAAAGCUACUAAAAAGGAUCAUUACCCCUUACCUUUUAUCGAUCAAAUGCUAGAAAGAUUAUCUAAACAUACACAUUUUUUCUUUCUAGAUGGUUAUUCUGGUUUCUCUCAAAUACCUGUGUCAGCCGAUGAUCAAUCAAAGACCACUUUUGCUUGCCCUUUCGGUACUUUUGCUUAUAGACGUAUGCCUUUUGGUUUAUGUAAUGCACCUGCUACCUUUCAAAGAUGCAUGAUGGCUAUAUUCUCUGACUUUUGUGAAAAGAUUUGUGAGGUUUUCAUGGACGAUUUUUCCGUCUAUGGAUCCUCUUUUGAUGAUUGCUUGAGCAACCUUGAUCGAGUUUUGCAGAGAUGUGAAGAAACUAAUCUUGUCUUGAAUUGGGAAAAGUGCCACUUUAUGGUUAAUGAAGGUAUUGUCUUGGGGCAUAAAGUUUCUGAAAGAGGUAUUGAGGUUGAUAAAGCCAAGGUUGAUGCUUUGAAAAGAUGCCAUGUCCCAAGGACAUCAAAGGUAUAAGAAGUUUCCUUGGUCAUGCCGGAUUUUAUAGGAGGUUCAUUAAGGACUUCUCAAAAAUUUCUUGGCCUCUGACUAAUUUAUUACAAAAAGAUAUACCAUUUUUCUUCGAUGAUGAUUGUGUAGAAGCAUUUGAAAUACUUAAGAAAGCAUUGAUUUCUGCACCUAUCGUUCAGCCACCUGAUUGGAAUUUACCCUUUGAAAUUAUGUGUGAUGCCAGUGAUUAUGCUGUAGGUGUUGUUCUAGGGCAAAGAGUUGAUAAGAAAUUAAAUGUUAUUCAAUAUGCUAGUAGAACUCUAGACAAUGCUCAGAGAAAUUAUGCUACUACUGAAAAAGAAUUCUUAGCAGUCGUAUUUGCUUGUGAUAAGUUCAGACCUUAUAUUGUUGAUUCUAAAGUAACUAUUCACACGGAUCAUGCUGCUAUUAAAUAUCUUAUGGAAAAGAAAGAUGCUAAGCCUAGACUUAUUAGAUGGGUUCUCUUGCUACAAGAAUUUGAUUUGCAUAUUGUUGAUAGAAAAGGAGCUGAGAACCCCGUUGCAGACAACUUGUCUAGGUUAGAAAAUAUUCUUGAUGACCCACUACCUAUUGAUGAUAGCUUUCCGGAUGAACAAUUAAAUGUCAUAAAUACUUCUCAUACUGCCCCAUGGUAUGCUGAUUAUGCUAAUUACAUUGUUGCUAAAUUUAUACCACCUAGUUUCACAUACCAGCAAAAGAAAAAGUUUUUCUAUGAUUUGAGACAUACUUUUGGGAUGACCCACAUCUUUAUAAAGAAGGAGUAGAUGGUGUUAUUAGACGUUGUGUACCUGAGCAUGAACAGGAACAAAUCCUACGCAAGUGUCACUCCGAAGCUUAUGGAGGACACCACGUUAGAGAUAGAACUGCACAUAAGGUAUUGCAAUCUGGUUUUUAUUGGCCUACUCUCUUAAAGGAUGCCCGUAAGUUUGUCCUAUCUUGUGAUGAAUGUCAAAGAAUUGGUAACAUUAGUAAGCGUCAAGAAAUGCCGAUGAACUAUUCACUUGUUAUUGAACCAUUUGAUGUUUGGGGCUUUGAUUAUAUGGGACCUUUUCCUGCCUCUAAUGGUUACACACAUAUUUUAGUUGCUGUUGAUUAUGUUACUAAGUGGGUAGAAGCUAUUCCAACUAGUAGUGCUGAUCAUAACACUUCUAUUAAAAUCCUUAAAGAAGUUAUUUUCCCGAGGUUUGAAGUCCCUAGAUAUUUAAUGAUUGAUGGUGGUUCACAUUUUAUUCAUGGUGCUUUUCGUAAAAUGCUUGCAAAGUAUGAUGUUAAUCAUAGAAUUGCAUCCCCUUAUCACCCGCAGUCUAGUGGUCAAGUAGAAUUGAGCAAUAGAGAGCUCAAAUUAAUUUUGCAAAAGACUAUUAAUAGAUCUAGAAAGAAUUGGUCCAAGAAACUGGAUGAUGCAUUAUGGGCCUAUAGAACUGCAUAUAAAAAUCCUAUGGGUAUGUCUCCGUACAAAAUGGUUUAUGGAAAAGCAUGUCACUUACCUCUCGAACUAGAACAUAAGGCAUAUUGGGCUAUUAAAGAGCUCAAUUAUGAUUUCAAACUUGCCGGUGAGAAGAGGUUAUUUGACAUUAGCUCACUUGAUGAAUGGAGAACCCAAGCUUAUGAGAAUGCCAAGUUGUUUAAAGAAAAGGUUAAAAGAUGGCAUGACAAAAGAAUACAAAAGCGUGAGUUUAAUGUAGGUGAUUAUGUAUUGCUAUACAACUCUCGUUUAAGAUUUUUUGCAGGAAAACUUCUCUCUAAAUGGGAAGGCCCUUACGUUAUCGCGGAGGUCUAUCGUUCCGGUGCCAUAAAAAUUAACAACUUCGAAGGCACAAAUCCAAAGGUGGUGAACGGUCAAAGAAUCAAACAUUAUAUCGCAGGUAAUCCUAUAAAUGUUGAAACCAAUGUUAUUGAAACCGUAACCCUGGAGGAAUACAUAAGGGACACUUUCCGGAAUGUUUCAGACUCCAAAAAGGAAUAGGUAUGUGGUACGGUAAGUAAACCGACUCCAAAACAGUUCUAAUGGCAAUUUUUCUUCGUUUUGGAAUAUUUAGGAAAAUAGAAAAAUAAGAGGCAGUCCGGGAAGGACACAAGGCCUCCACGAGGGUGGAGGGCGCGCCCUACCCCCUGGGCGCGCCCCCCUACCUCGUGGGCACCUCGUGUGCUCUCCGGACUCCGUUUUCUUGCACGUUACGUAUUUUGGUCGGUAAAAAUUCAUUAUAUAAUCUCCCGAAGGUUUUGACUCCUGUAUCACACAAAUAUCCUGUGUUCUUCUUUCAAGCUGUUUUUCUGACAGAUCUAGAUCAUCAUGAUGUCUCCAACUACCCCCAAGGACAAGUUCUUCGAGAAGUUCAUCAAUCCCUACCUCGCGGAGGUGCUGCAACACCCUCAAACCAUUGAGGUGUGUGAGGGGGUGCUGCACAUCCGCGAUGUUGAGGGACCACGGAGGACCGAAAGCGUGGAGACAAGGCUUGAAGCAAUGGAGCAACAAGUUUUCAAGUGCCAGGAGAUGGUGGAGCAUGGACUUGACUCCAAUCACAUAAUGAUCACGGAGUUCACCAACAACCACAAGCUGGAUGCCAAGGACAUUGGGGAGGCCAUCUUCAAGCUCCACGAGAAAAUCGAGCACAUCCAAGCCCAAAUCUAUGACCUGCAAAACCAAAACUGUGAGUAUGAAUAUAGAUUCAAAAGGAUGAGUUUGGUUGCAGAUUUAAGGAUCCCGGAGACUCGAUCAUCUUUCUAUGAUGGUGAGCCUAUGCCUUGGAAGAUGGACGACAAGCCUACAUCAUCAACAAUCCCUUCACCAGCAAAGGAGACAUAAUCACAUGGGUAUGGGCACUCCCCUUGGCAACUGCCAAGCUUGGGGGAGAUGCCCCGGUAUCAUAUCACCAUCACACUCCUAUCUUUACCCUUUUUCUUAGUUCGAUCCUAUUAGUGGUAUCUUGAUCUAGUCGAAUAAAGUUUAUGGCAUGAUCUAGUUUUGAGUUUUGCUUUACGAUCUCUCUAUGUAAUCGAGUCCGUGAGCUAUAUAAUAAAGAUUAGUGUUGAGUCAAGGGCUUGAUUAUUUUGCCAUGAUCUUGAGUGAAUAAAAUAAAAGAGAAAAGAAUAAAAAGAAAUAAAGAGAUCAUAUUGAUCUUAUUGAGAGUAAUGACUUCACAUAGAAAGAGUAUGAUGAUUAAAAAUUGUUGAGAGUUGACAAACAUAGCUUUGGUCAUCGUUGCAAUCAAUAGGAAGUAAUAAAGAAAGAGAGGUUUUCACAUAUAAAUAUACUAUCUUGGACAUCUUUUAUGAUUGGGAGCACUCAUUAAAAUAUGACAUGCUAAAGAGUUUAUGUUGGACAAGGAAGACAACGUAAUGGGUUAUGUUUUCUUAUAUCUGAGAUAAAGUAUAUUGUCAUGGAUCAUCCAACAUGUUGAGCUUGCCUUUCCCCCUCAUGCUAGCCAAAUUCUUUGCACCAAGUAGAGAUACUACUUGUGCUUCCAAAAACCCUUAAACCAGUUUUGCCAUGAGAGUCCACCAUAUCUACCUAUGGAUUGAGUAAGAUCCUUCAAGUAAGUUGUCAUCGGUGCAAGCAAUAAAAAUUGCUCUCUAAAUAUGUAUAAUUGAUUGGUGUGGAGGAAAUAAGCUUUAUACGAUCUUGUUAUGUGGAAGAAAUAAAAGCGACGGACUGCAUAAUAAAGGUUCAUAUCACAAGUGGCAAUAUAAAGUGACGUUCUUUCGCAUUAAGAUUUUGUGCAUCCAACCCUGAAAGCGCAUGGCAACCUCUGCUUUCCUCUGCGAAGGGCCUAUCUUUUAUUAUUAUCUUCUACCUUAUGCAAGAGUCAUGGUGAUUUUCACCUUUCCUUUUUAUAUUUUAUCCUUUGGCAAGCACAGGAUGUUCGAAACAUCCUGAUAGAUAUAUCUAAUUGGAUAUGGGUUGGCAUGAACUAUUAUUGUUGACAUUACCCUUGAGGUAAAAGGUUGGGAGGCGAAACUAUAAGCCCCUAUCUUUCUCUGUGUCCUAUUAAAACUCCGUAACCACAAGUAUUGCGCGAGUGUUAGCAAUUAUGAAAGACUAAAUGAUAGUUGAGUAUGUGGACUUGCUAGAAGGCUCUGACAUAGACUCUUUCUGAUGUUAUGAUAAAUUGCAAUUGCUUCACUGACUGAGAUUAUAGUUUGUUAGUUCUCAAUAAAGUUUCUGAUUCAUACUUUGCAUUGUGAAUAGAUUAUUACUUGAGCAUAAGAAAUCAUAUGACAAAAUCCAUAUAUGUUGCUGUUAUGAGAAUAAUCAUGAUGCCCUCAUGUCCGUAUUUUAUUUUAUCGACACCUCUACCUCUAAACAUGUGGACAUAUUUAUCGUUAUCGGCUUCCGCUUGAGGACAAGCGAGGUCUAAGCUUGGGGGAGUUGGUACGUCCAUUUUGCAUCAUGCUUUUAUAUUGAUAUUUAUUGCAUUAUGGGCUGUUAUUACACAUUAUGUCACAAUACUUAUGCCUAUUCUCUCUUAUUUUACAAGGUUUACAUAAGGAGGGAGAAUGCCGGCAGCUGGAAUUCUGGGCUGGAAAAGGAGCAAAUAUUAGAGACCUAUUCUGCACAACUCCAAAAGUCCUGAAACUCCACGAAAGUUAUUUUUGGAAAUAAUAAAAAAUACUGAGCGGAAGAAAUACGUCAGGGGGGCCUCCACCUGUCCACGAGGGUGGGGGGCGCGCCCCCUGCCUCGUGGGCCUCCUGUUGGUCCUCCGGUGGCCAUCUUCUGCUAUAUGAAGUCUUUUGUCCGAAGAAAAAUCAUAAGCAAGCUUUUGGGACGAGACUCCGCCGCCACAAGGCGGAACCAAUCUAGGGCUCCAGUAGAGCUGUUCUGCCGGGGACACUUCCCUCCGAGAGGGGGAGAUCAUCGCCAUCGUCAUCACCAACGCUCCUCUCAUCGGGAGAGGGCAAUCUCCAUCAACAUCUUCACCAGCACCAUCUCCUCUCAAACCCUAGUUCAUCUCUUGUAUCCAAUUCUUGUCUCCAAGUCUGGGAUUGGUACCUGUAGGUUGCUAGUAGUGUUGAUUACUCCUUGUAGUUGAUGCUAGUUGGUUUAUUUGGUGGAAGAUCAUAUGUUCAGAUCCUUUAUGCAUAUUAAUACUCCUCUGAUUAUGAACAUGAAUAUGCUUUGUGAGUAGUCACAUUUGUUCCUGAGGACAUGGGAGAAGUCUUGCUAUUAGUAGUCAUGUGAAUUUGGUAUUCGUUCGAUAUUUUGAUGAGAUGUAUGUUGUCUAUCCUCUAGUGGUGUUUGUGAACGUCGACUACAUGACACUUCACCAUUAUUUGGGCCUAGAGGAAGGCAUUGGGAAGUAAUAAGUAGAUGAUGGGUUGCUAGAGUGACAGAAGCUUAAACCCUAGUUUAUGCGUUGCUUCGUAAGGGGCUGAUUUGGAUCCAUAUGUUUCAUGCUAUGGUUAGGUUUACCUUAAUACUUUUGUUGUAGUUGCGGAUGCUUGCAAUAGAGGUUAAUCAUAAGUGGGAUGCUUGUUCAAGUAAGAACAACACCCAAGCACCGGUCCACCCACAUAUCAAAUUAUCAAAGUACCGAACGCGAAUCAUAUGAACGUGAUGAAAACUAGCUUGAUGAUAAUUCCCAUGUGUCCUCGGGAGCGCUUUUCUCUAUAUAAGAGUUUUUCUAGGCUUAUCCUUUCCUACAGAAAGGAUUGGGCCACCUUGCUGCACUUUAUUUACUUUUGUUACUUGUUGCUCGUUACAAAUUAUCCUAUCACAAAACUAUCUGUUACCUAUUAUUUCAGUACUUGCAGAGAAUACCUUGCUGAAAACCGCUUAUCAUUUCCUUCUGCUCCUCGUUGGGUUCGACACUCUUACUUAUCGAAAGGACUACAAUAGAUCCCCUAUACUUGUGGGUCAUCAAUCACCAACGCUCCUCUCAUCGGGAGAGGGCAAUCUCCAUCAACAUCUUCACCAACACCAUCUCCUCUCAAAACCUAGUUCAUCUCGUGUAUCCAAUUCUUGUCUCCAAGUCCGGGAUUGGUACCUGUAGGUUGCUAGUAGUGUUGAUUACUCCUUGUAGUUGAUGCUAGUUGGUUUAUUUGGUGGAAGAUCAUAUAUUCAGAUCCUAUAUGCAUAUUAAUACCCCUCUGAUUAUGAACAUGAAUAUGCUUUGUGAGUAGUUACGUUUGUUCCUGAGGACAUGGGAGAAGUCUUGCUAUUAGUAGUCAUGUGAAUUUGGUAUCCGUUCGAUAUUUUGAUGAGAUGUAUGUUGUCUAUCCUCUAGUGGUGUUAUGUGAACAUCGACUACAUGACACUUCACCAUUAUUUGGGCCUAGAGGAAGGCAUUGGGAAGUAAUAAGUAGAUGAUGGGUUGCUAGAGUGAAAGAAACUUAAACCCUAGUUUAUGCGUUGCUUCGUAAGGGGCUGAUUUGGAUCCAUAUGUUUCAUGCUAUGGUUAGGUUUACCUUAAUACUUUUGUUGUAGUUGCGGAUGCUUGCAAUAGAGAUUAAUCAUAAGUGGGAUGCUUGUUCAAGUAAGAACAGCACCCAAGCACCGGUCCACCCACAUAUCAAAUUAUCAAAGUACCAAACGCGAAUCAUAUGAACGUGAUGAAAACUAGCUUGACGAUAAUUCCCAUGUGUCCUCGGGAGCGCUUUUCUCUAUAUAAGAGUUUGUCUAGGCUUGUCCUUUGCUACAAAAAGGAUUGGGCCACCUUGCUGCACUUUAUUUACUUUUGUUACUUGUUGCUCGUUACAAAUUAUCCUAUCACAAAACUAUCUGUUACCUAUUAUUUCAGUGCUUGCAUAGAAUACCUUGCUGAAAACCGCUUAUCAUUUCCUUCUGCUCCUCGUUGGGUUCGACACUCUUACUUAUCGAAGGACUAUGAUAGAUCCCCUAUACUUGUGGGUCAUCAGCCAGCCCUUCCAAAGCCGUCCACAAUCACAUUCUCCGCCCGGAGAAUCUUCACGUGCCAACAGUAACUCUCCCCACCCCCCUCCGUCGUCAUUUCUUUCAACCCCUCCCCCUGCUACAAACUCUAACUCGGACCCUGCUGCGGCGGACACAGCUCUCCCUCUUCAGGAUCUUGACACUCAUGAGUGCACUGCUCGCAAGGAGCGCCGCAGGUAUGCUCGCGAUCGCUCUGUCUCCAAGGACAAGUUACGCCGGAGCGCACGUCUUGCUGCCAAAGAAACCAAGUAUUCCCUCAUGCUCGCCAAAGCUGUCAAGGCCAAGGCAGCUCGCCUCUCCACCUCCGACGUUGACACGGCCAUUGGACAUGCUAUCCAGGAUGCCCGCCUUGAUGCUCCCGACGGCCCACUUGCCUCGGCUGAAGACUUGGCCACGAUCGCGCUCCUCUGUGGCGCGGACGACGGCCACCUCGACGCCAUCCUCUCCUCCGAGGAGGCCGCCUCUGGUGACGACUCCGAGCCAUGAUCGCUGCCCCAUCCAUGCACGGCCCACGGACGUCUGGGGCCCACUGCAAGUUAACGUCCGUCUCUAUUAGUUGUAGUUGUCACGUGUGUCAUGUCGCGCUGCUCUUUUGGACUCUGUGCGCAUUGCCUUUUGUUUGGCUAUCUGCUGUCUCAACUGAUGUAGUAGGUCUCAUGUACUCCUUCGCGCUUUCCGCCGUCCGCCUGUGGUGUCGAAAAACCUUUUAUGAGUAAUGAUGUAAGCUCUAUCUGCUCCUGGAAUGUAUGUGGUCUGGGUGAUGACGACAAGUGUAAUGUUGUCCUCUCUGAACUUUUAGCGAUCAACCCUCACGUUGCCCUCUUGCAGGAAUCUAAACUAGAAUCUUACACCGACGCCAAGCUUCGCUCCUUUCUACCCUUCCACCUCGACCAAGCCUUUCCACUGCCCGCCAUUGGCACGACCGCGGCACCAUAACCGCCGUUAACCCCUCCUCUCUCCAGGUCAUCUCGCACUCGCACAAAAUUUUCUCCUCCACCGUAACUCUAAGAUCAACUGCAUGUGCCCUCAACAUCGCCAUCACCAACAUCUACGCUCCCUCUACACGUGCCCUCAAACAAGCUUUCUUUGCCGACCUCCUCUCCAUCGCGCAACCUGACCAUGCUCCUUGGCUUGUCCUCGGCGAUUUCAACCUCCUUCGCUUUCCCUCGGACAAAAACAACUCCUCCUUUCGACAGUUAGAAGCUAAUGCCUUUAACCACGUUAUCGACACCUUAGCCCUCAUUGAACUGCCUCUCCUCGACCGACAAUUUACGUGGACCAACAACCGCUCCUCGUCCGAACAUCAUAACUGCACCCUAUUGGAUAUGGUGCAUUCCAUGAUGUUUCUUAUCAAAUUACCACUAUCGUUUAUGGGUUAGGCAUUAGAGACAACCGCAUUCACUUUAAAAGGGGCACCACGCAAUUCCGUUGAGACGACACCGUUUAUAGAAACCUAAGUUGUCGUUUCUUAAAAGUUUGGGGCUGCGAUGCUUAUGUGAAAAAGUUUCAGGCUGAUAAGCUCGAACCCAAAGUGGAUAAAUGCAUCUUCAUAGAAUACCCAAAAACAGUUGGGUAUACCUCCUAUUUCAGAUCUGGAAGCAAAAGUAAUUGCUUCUAGAAACGAGUCCUUUCUCGAGGAAAAGUUUCUCUCGAAAGAAUUGAGUGGGAGGAUGGUGGAGACUUGAUAAGGUUAUUGAACUGUCGCUUCAACUAGUGUGUAGCAAGGCACAGGAAGUUGUUCCUGUGGCACCUACACCAAUUGAAGUGGAAGCUUAUGAUGGUGAUCAUGAAACUUCGGAUCAAGUCACUACCAAACCUCGUAGGACGACGAGGAUGCACACUACUUCAGAGUAAUGCGUGAUCCUGCCUUGGAAGUCAUGUUGCUAGACAACUAUGAACCUACGAGCUAUGGAGAAGCGAUGGUGGGCCCAUAUUCCGACGAAUGGCUCGAGGCCAUGAAAUCCGAGAUAGAAUCCAUGUAUUAGAACAAAGCAUGGACUUUGGUGAACUUGCCCGUUGAUCGGCAAGCCAUUGAGAUAAAUGGAUCUUUAAGAAGAAGACGAACAUGGACGGUAAUGUUACCGUCUAAGAAGCUCGACUUGUGGCAAAGAGUAUUUUCACAAGUUCAAGGAGUUGACUACGAUGAGUUUUUCUCAUCCGUAGUGAUGCUUAGGUCCGUCGGAAUCAUGUUAGCAUUAGCUACAUUUAUGAAAUCUGGCAGAUGGAUGUCAAAACAAGUUUCCUUACCAGUUUUCGUAAGGAAAGGUUGUAUAUGAUACAAUCAGAAAGGUUUUGUCGAUCCUAAGGAUGCUAAAAGGUAUGCUAGCUCCAGCGAUCCUUCCCUGGAUUAGAGCAAGCAUCUCGGAGUCAGAAUAUACGCUUUGAUGGAGUGAUCAAAGUUUUUGGGUUUAUACAAAGUUUGUUAGAAUCUUGUAUUUACAAUAAAGUGAGUGGGAGCGCUACAACAUUUCUGAUAAUUAUAUGUGAAUGACAUAUUGUUGAUCCGAAAUGAUGUAAAAUUUCUGGAAAGCAUAAAGGGUUGUUUGAAAGGAGUUUUUCAAAGGAAGACCUGGAUAAAGCUACUUACAUAUUGGGCAUCAAGAUCCAUAGAGAUAGAUCAAGACGCCUGAUGAUACUUUCAAAAGACAGCACACCUUGACAUGAUUUUGAAAGAGUUCAAAAUAGAUCAGCAAAGAAGGAGUUAUUGGUUGUGUUACAAGGUGUGAGUAUUGAGUGAGACUCAAGACCUGACCACAGCAGAAGAUAGAGAAAGGACGAAGGUCGUCCCCUAUGCUUUAGACGUAGGCUCUAUUGUAUGCUAUGUUGUGUACCGCACAUGUAGUGUGCCUUGCCAUGAGUUGGUCAAGAGGGUACAAUGGUGAUCCGGGAAAGGAUCUCAUGACAGCGGUUGAACUUAUCCUUAGUACCUAGUGGAUUAAGGAAUUUUCUCGAUUAUGGAGGUGGAAAGGAGUUCGUCAUAAAGGGUUACGUCGAUGCGAACUUUGACACUAAUCCGGAUGACUCUGAGUAGUAAACCGGAUUCGUAUAGUAGAGCAAUUAUUUGAAAUGGCUCCAAAUAGCGCGUGGUAGCAUCCACAAAGAUGACAUAGAUAUUCGUAAAGCACACGGUUCUGAAAGGUUCAGACCCGUUGACUAAUAACCUCUCUCACAAGCAUAACAUGACCAAACCAGAACACAUUGAGUGAUAAUCACAUAGUGAUGUGAACUAGAUUGUUGACUCUAGUAAACUCUUUAGAUGUUGGUCACAUGGUGAUGUGACCAGUGAGUGUUAAUCACAUGGUGAUGUGAACUAGAUUAUUGACUCUAGUGCAAGUGGGAGACUGUUGGAAAUAUUCCCUAGAGGCAAUAAUAAAUUGGUUAUUAUUAUAUUUCCUUAUUCAUGAUAAUCGUUUAUUAUCCAUGCUAGAAUUGUAUUGAUAGGAAACUCAGAUACAUGUGUGGAUACAUAGACAACACCAUGUCCCUAGUAAGCCUCUAGUUGACUAGCUCGUUGAUCAAUAGAUGGUUACGGUUUCCUGACCAUGGACAUUGGAUGUCGUUGAUAACAGGAUCACAUCAUUAGGAGAAUGAUGUGAUGGACAAGACCCAAUCCUAAGCAUAGCAUAAAAGAUCGUGUAGUUUCGUUUGCUAGAGCUUUUCUAAUGUCAAGUAUCUUUUCCUUAGACCAUGAGAUCGUGCAACUCCCGGAUACCGUAGGAGUGCUUUGGGUGUGCCAAACGUCACAACGUAACUGGGUGACUAUAAAGGUGCAUUACGGGUAUCUCCGAAAGUGUCUGUUGGGUUGGCACGGAUCGAGACUGGGAUUUGCCACUCCGUGUGACGGAGAGGUAUCUCUGGGCCCACUCGGUAAUGCAUCAUCAUAAUGAGCUCAAUGUGACUAAGGCGUUAGUCACGGGAUCAUGCAUUGCGGUACGAGUAAAGAGACUUGCCGGUAACGAGAUUGAACAAGGUAUUGGGAUACCGACGAUCGAAUCUCGGGCAAGUAACAUACCGUUUGACAAAGGGAAUUGCAUACGGAUUGAUUGAAUCCUCGACACCGUGGUUCAUCCGAUGAGAUCAUCGUGGAACAUGUGGGAGCCAACAUGGGUAUCCAGAUCCCGCUGUUGGUUAUUGACCGGAGAGGCGUCUCGGUCAUGUCUGCAUGUCUCCCGAACCCGUAGGGUCUACACACUUAAGGUUCGGUGACGCUAGGGUUAUAGAGAUAUAUGUAUGCGGAAACCCGAAAGUUGUUCGGAGUCCCGGAUGAGAUCCCGGACAUCACGAGAGGUACCGGAAUGGUCCGGAGGUGAAGAAUUAUAUAUAGGAAGUCCAGUUUCGGCCACCGGGAAAGUUUCGGGGGUUACUGGUAUUGUACCGGGACCACCGGAAGGGUCCCGGGGGUCCACCGGGUGGGGCCACCUAUCCCGGAGGGCCCCGUGGGAUGAAAGUGGAAGGUAACCAGCCCCUAGUGGGCUGGGCGCCCCCCCAUGGGCCUCCCCCCAUGCGCCUAGGGUUGGGAACCCUAGGGUGGGGGACUUCCCCCUUGCCUUGGGGGGCAAGCAACCCCUUGCCACCCCUUGGCCGCCGCCCNNNNNNNNNNNNNNNNNNNNNNNNNNNNNNNNNNNNNNNNNNNNNNNNNNNNNNNNNNNNNNNNNNNNNNNNNNNGGGCCUAUAUAAAGGGGGGAGGGAGGGCAGCAACAUACAGCCUUGGGCGCCUCCCUCCUCCCCGGCAACACCUCUCUCUCUCGCAGAAGCUUGGCGAAGCCCUGCCGGAGACCCGCUACAUCCACCACCACGCCGUCGUGCUGCUGGAUCUCCAUCAACCUCUCCUUCCCCCUUGAUGGAUCAAGAAGGAGGAGACGUCGCUGCACCGUACGUGUGUUGAACGCGGAGGUGCCGUCCGUUCGGCACUCGGUCAUCGGUGAUUUGGAUCACGGCGAGUACGACUCCGUCAUCCACGUUCAUUGGAACGCUUCCGCUCGCAAUCUACAAGGGUAUGUAGAUGCACUCCUUUCCCCUCGUUGCUAGUAGACUCCAUAGAUGCAUCUUGGUGAGCGUAGGAAAAUUUUAAAUUAUGCUACGAUUCCCAACAGUGGCAUCAUGAGCCAGGCCUAUGUGUAGUUACUAUGCACGAGUAGAACACAAAGCAGUUGUGGGCGUUGAGUUUGCCAAUUCUUCUUGCCGCUACUAGUCUUUUCUUGUUUCGGCGGCAUUGUAGGAUGAAGCGGCCCGGACCGACCUUACAUGUACACUUACGUGAGACAGGUUCCACCGACUGACAUGCACUAGAUGCAUAAGGUGGCUAGCGGGUGUCUGUCUCUCCUACUUUAGUCGGAACGGAUUCGAUGAAAAGGGUCCUUAUGAAGGGUAAAUAGAAAUUGGCAAAUCACGUUGUGGUCAUACGUAGGUAAGAAACGUUCUUGCUAGAAACCUACAAACCACGUAAAAACUUGCAACAACAAUUAGAGGACGUCUAACUUGUUUUUGCAGCAAGUGCUAUGUGAUGUGAUAUGGCCAGAAGAUGUGAUGAAUGAUAUAUGUGAUGUAUGAGAUUGAUCAUAUUCUUGUAAUAGGAAUCACGACUUGCAUGUCGAUGAGUAUGACAACCGGCAAGAGCCAUAGGAGUUGUCUUUAUUAUUUUGCAUGACCUGCGUGUCAUUGAAUAACGCCAUGUAAAUUACUUUACUUUGUUGCUAAACGCGUUAGCCAUAGAAGUAGAAGUAAUCAUUGGCGUGACGACUUCAUGAAGACACAAUGAUGGAGAUCAUGAUGAUGGAGAUCAUGGUGUCAUGCCGGUGACAAAGAUGAUCAUGGUGCCCCGAAGAUGGAGAUCAAAGGAGCAUAAUGAUAUUGGCCAUAUCAUGUCACUAUUUGAUUGCAUGUGAUGUUUAUCAUGUUUUUGCAUCUUAUUUGCUUAGAACGACGGUAGUAAGUAAGAUGAUCCCUUAUAAUAAUUUCAAGAAAGUGUUCACCCUAACUGUGCACCGUUGCAAAGGUUCGUUGUUUCGAAGCACCACGUGAUGAUCGGGUGUGAUAGAUUCUAACGUUCGAAUACAACGGGUGUUGACGAGCCUAGCAUGUACAGACAUGGCCUCGGAACACACGCAAUACACUUAGGUUGACUUGACGAGCCUAGCAUGUACAGACAUGGCCUCGGAACACGGAGGACCGAAAGGUCGAGCAUGAGUCGUAUAGAAGAUACGAUCAACAUGGAGAUGUUCACCGAUCUUGACUAGUCCGUCUCACGUGAUGAUCGGACACGGCCUAGUUAAACUCGGAUCAUGUUUCACUUAGAUGACUAGAGGGAUGUCUAUCUGAGUGGGAGUUCAUAAUCAGAUGAACUUCAUUAUCAUGAACAUAGUAAAAAAGGUAUUUGCAAAUUAUGUCAUAGCUUGCGCUUUAGUUCUACUGGUUAAGAUAUGUUCCUAGAGAAAAUUUAGUUGAAAGUUGGUAGUAGCAAUUAUGCGGACUGGGUCCGUAAACUGAGCAUUGUCCUCAUUGCUGCAGAAGGCUUAUGUCCUUAAUGCACCGCUCGGUGUGCUGAACCUCAGCGUCGUCUGUAGAUGUUACGAAACAUCUGACAUACACAUUUUGAUGACUACAUGAUAGUUCAAUGCGGUUUAGAAUUGAGGCACCAAAGACGUUUUUGAAAUGUCGCAGAACAUGUGAGAUGUUCCGAAGACUGAAAUUGGGAUUUCAGACCAGUGCCCACGUCAAGAGGUAUGAGACCUCUGACAAGUUUCUUAAGCCUGCAAACUAAGGGAGGAAAGCUCAAUCGUUGAGCGUGUGCUCAGAUUGUCUGAGUGCCACAAUCGCUUGAAUCGAGUGGGAGUUAAUCUCCCAGAUGAGAUAGUGAUAGUUCUCCAUAGUCACUGCCACCAAGCUAGUAGAGCUUCGUGAUGAACUAUAACAUAUCAAGGAUAGUUAUGAUGAUCCUUGAGCUAUUCGCGAUGUUUGACACCGCGAGAGUAGAAAUCAAGAAGGAGCAUCAAUUGUUGAUGGUUAGUAAAACCACUAGUUUAAGAAGGGCAAGGGCAAAAGGGAUACUUCAUGAAACAGCAAGUCAUUUGCUGCUCUAGUGAAGAAUCCCAAGGUUGAACCCAAACCCGAGACUAAGUGCUUCUGUAAUGAGAGGAACGGUCACUGAAGCAGUACUACCCUAGAUACUUGGUAGAUGAGAAGGCAGGCAAGGUCGACAGAAGUAUAUUGGAUAUACGUUACAUGAAUGUGUACUUUACUAGUACUCCUAGCAGCACCAGGGUAUUAGAUACCGGUUCGGUUGCUAAGUGUUAGUAACUCAAAAUAAAAGCUGCGGAAUAAAUGGAGACUAGCUAAAGGUGAGAUGACGAUAUGUGUUGGAAGUGUUUCCAAGGUUGAUGUGAUCAAGCAUCGCAUGCUCCCUCUACCAUCGAGAUUUGGUGUUUGCGUUGAACAUGAUUGGAUUAUGUUUACCGCAAAACGGUUAUUCAUUUAAGGAGAAUAAUGGUUACUCUGUUUAUUUGAAUAAUACCUUCAAUGGUCUUGCACCUAAAAUGAAUCUCGAUCGUAGUGAUACACAUGUUCAUGCCAAAAGAUAUAAGAUAGUAAUGAUAGUACCACAUACUUGUGGCACUGCCACUUGAGUCAUAUUGGUGUAGAACGCAUGAAGAAGCUCCAUGUAGGUGGAUCUUUGGACUCACUCGUUUUUGAAAAGAUUGAGACAUGCGAACCAUGUCUAUUGGUAUAUAUGCAUGAAGAAACUCCAUACAGAUGGAUCGUUUGGACUCACUUGAUUAUGAAUCACUUCAGACAUGCAAAUCAUACCACAUGGGCAAAAUGACUGAAAGUCCUCGUUUUCAGUGAGAUGGAACAAGAGAGCAACUUAUUGGAAGUAAUACAUUUUGAUGUACGCAGUCCAAUGAGUGCUGAGGCAUGCAGUGGAUAUCAUUAUGUUCUUACUUCACAGAUGAUUUGAGUAGAUGCUGAGUGUAUUUACUUGAUGAAACACUAGUCUGAAUUAUUGAAAGGUUCAAGUAAUUUCAGAGUGAAGUUGAAGAUCGUCGUGACAAGAGGAUAAAAUGUCUGUGAUAUGAUCAUAGAGAUGACUAUCUGAGAUACGAGUUUGGCACACAAUUGAGACAUUGUGGAAAGUGUUUCACAAUUAAUACCGCCUGGAACACCAUAGUGUGAUGGUGUGUCCGAACAUCAUAACUGCACCCUAUUGGAUAUAGUGCAUACCAUGAUGUUUCUUAUCAAAUUACCACUAUCGUUUAUGGGUUAGGCAUUAGAGACAACCGCAUUCACUUUAAAAGGGGCACCACGCAAUUCCGUUGAGACGACACCGUUUAUAGAAACCUAAGUUGUCGUUUCUUAAAAGUUUGGGGCUGCGAUGCUUAUGUGAAAAAGUUUCAGGCUGAUAAGCUCGAACCCAAAGUGGAUAAAUGCAUCUUCAUAGAAUACCCAAAAAUAGUUGGGUAUACCUCCUAUUUCAGAUCUGGAAGCAAAAGUAAUUGCUUCUAGAAACGAGUCAUUUCUCGAGGAAAAGUUUCUCUCGAAAGAAUUGAGUGGGAGGAUGGUGGAGACUUGAUAAGGUUAUUGAACCGUCGCUUCAACUAGUGUGUAGCAGGGCACAGGAAGUUGUUCCUGUGGCACCUACACCAAUUGAAGUGGAAGCUUAUGAUGGUGAUCAUGAAACUUCGGAUCAAGUCACUACCAAACCUCGUAGGACGACGAGGAUGCGCACUACUUCAGAGUAAUGCGUGAUCCUGCCUUGGAAGUCAUGUUGCUAGACAACUAUGAACCUACGAGCUAUGGAGAAGCGAUGGUGGGCCCAUAUUCCGACGAAUGGCUCGAGGCCAUGAAAUCCGAGAUAGAAUCCAUGUAUCAGAACAAACAUUGGACUUUGGUGAACUUGCCCGUUGAUCGGCAAGCCAUUGAGAUAAAUGGAUCUUAAGAAGAAGACGAACAUGGACGGUAAUGUUACCGUCUAUGAAGCUCGACUUGUGGCAAAGAGUAUUUUCACAAGUUCAAGGAGUUGACUACGAUGAGUUUUUCUCAUCCGUAGCGAUGCUUAGGUCCGUCGGAAUCAUGUUAGCAUUAGCUACAUUUAUGAAAUCUGGCAGAUGGAUGUCAAAACAAGUUUCCUUACCAGUUUUCGUAAGGAAAGGUUGUAUGUGAUACAAUCAGAAAGGUUUUGUCGAUCCUAAGGAUGCUAAAAGGUAUGCUAGCUCCAGCGAUCCUUCCAUGGAUUAGAGCAAGCAUCUCGGAGUCAGAAUAUACGCUUUGAUGGAGUGAUCAAAGUUUUUGGGUUUAUACAAAGUUUGUUAGAAUCUUGUAUUUACAAUAAAGUGAGUGGGAGCGCUACAACAUUUCUGAUAAGUAUAUGUGAAUGACAUAUUGUUGAUCCGAAAUGAUGUAAAAUUUCUGGAAAGCAUAAAGGGUUGUUUGAAAGGAGUUUUUCAAAGGAAGACCUGGAUAAAGCUACUUACAUAUUGGGCAUCAAGAUCCAUAGAGAUAGAUCAAGACGCCUGAUGAUACUUUCAAAAGACAGCACACCUUGACAUGAUUUUGAAAGAGUUCAAAAUAGAUCAGCAAAGAAGGAGUUCUUGGCGGUGUUACAAGGUGUGAGUAUUGAGUGAGACUCAAGACCUGACCACAGCAGAAGAUAGAGAAAGGACGAAGGUCGUCCCCUAUGCUUUAGACGUAGGCUCUAUAGUAUGCUAUGCUGUGUACCGCACAUGUAGUGUGCCUUGCCAUGAGUUGGUCAAGAGGGUACAAUGGUGAUCCGGGAAAGGAUCUCAUGACAGCGGUUGAACUUAUCCUUAGUACCUAGUGGAUUCAGGAAUUUUCUCGAUUAUGGAGGUGGAAAGGAGUUCGUCAUAAAGGGUUACGUCGAUGCGAACUUUGACACUAAUCCGGAUGACUCUGAGUAGUAAACCGGAUUCGUAUAGUAGAGCAAUUAUUUGAAAUGGCUCCAAAUAGCGCGUGGUAGCAUCCACAAAGAUGACAUAGAUAUUCGUAAAGCACACGGUUCUGAAAGGUUCAAACCCGUUGACUAAUAACCUCUCUCACAAGCAUAACAUGACCAAACCAGAACACAUUGAGUGAUAAUCACAUAGUGAUUUGGACUAGAUUGUUGACUCUAGUAAACUCUUUAGAUGUUGGUCACAUGGUGAUGUGACCAGUGAGUGUUAAUCACAUGGUGAUGUGAACUAGAUUAUUGACUCUAGUGCAAGUGGGAGACUGUUGGAAAUAUGCCCUAGAGGCAAUAAUAAAUUGGUUAUUAUUAUAUUUCCUUAUUCAUGAUAAUCGUUUAUUAUCCAUGCUAGAAUUGUAUUGAUAGGAAACUCAGAUACAUGUGUGGAUACAUAGACAACACCAUGUCCCUAGUAAGCCUCUAGUUGACUAGCUCGUUGAUCAAUAGAUGGUUAUGGUUUCCUGACCAUGGACAUUGGAUGUCGUUGAUAACGGGAUCACAUCAUUAGGAGAAUGAUGUGAUGGACAAGACCCAAUCCUAAGCAUAGCAUAAAAGAUCGUGUAGUUUCGUUUGCUAGAGCUUUUCCAAUGUCAAGUAUCUUUUCCUUAGACCAUGAGAUCGUGCAACUCCCGGAUACCGUAGGAGUGCUUUGGGUGUGCCAAACGUCACAACGUAACUGGGUGACUAUAAAGGUGCACUACGGGUCUCCGAAAGUGUCUGUUGGGUUGGCACGGAUCGAGACUGGGAUUUGUCACUCUGUGUGACGGAGAGGUAUCUCUGGGCCCACUCGGUAAUGCAUCAUCAUAAUGAGCUCAAUGUGACUAAGGCGUUAGUCACGGGAUCAUGCAUUGCGGUACGAGUAAAGAGACUUGCCGGUAACGAGAUUGAACAAGGUAUUGGGAUACCGACGAUCGAAUCUCGGGCAAGUAACAUACCGUUUGACAAAGGGAAUUGCAUACGGAUUGAUUGAAUCCUCGACACCGUGGUUCAUCCGAUGAGAUCAUCGUGGAACAUGUGGGAGCCAACAUGGGUAUCCAGAUCCCGCUGUUGGUUAUUGACCGGAGAGGCGUCUCGGUCAUGUCUGCAUGUCUCCCGAACCCGUAGGGUCUACACACUUAAGGUUCGGUGACGCUAGGGUUAUAGAGAUAUAUGUAUGCGGAAACCCGAAAGUUGUUCGGAGUCCCGGAUGAGAUCCCGGACGUCACGAGAGGUACCGGAAUGGUCCGGAGGUGAAGAAUUAUAUAUAGGAAGUCCAGUUUCGGCCACCGGGAAAGUUUCGGGGGUUACCGGUAUUGUACCGGGACCACCGGAAGGGUCCCGGGGGUCCACCGGGUGGGGCCACCUAUCCCGGAGGGCCCCGUGGGCUGAAAGUGGAAGGGAACCAGCCCCUAGUGGGCUGGGCGCCCCCCCAUGGGCCUCCCCCCAUGCGCCUAGGUUUGGGAACCCUAGGGUGGGGGGACUUCCCCCUUGCCUUGGGGGGCAAGCAACCCCUUGCCACCCCUUGGCCGCCGCCCCCCAACCCUAGAUGGGUUUGGGCCGGCCCCCCCUCCCAAGGGGUCCUAUAUAAAGGGGGAGGGAGGGCAGCAACAUACAGCCUUGGGCGCCUCCCUCCUCCCCGGCAACACCUCUCUCUCUCUCGCAGAAGCUUGGCGAAGCCCUGCCGGAGACCCGCUACAUCCACCACCACGCCGUCGUGCUGCUGGAUCUCCAUCAACCUCUCCUUCCCCCUUGCUGGAUCAAGAAGGAGGAGACGUCGCUGCACCGUACGUGUGUUGAAUGCGGAGGUGCCGUCCGUUCGGCACUCGGUCAUCGGUGAUUUGGAUCACGGCGAGUACGACUCCGUCAUCCACGUUCAUUGGAACGCUUCCGCUCGCGAUCUACAAGGGUAUGUAGAUGCACUCCUUUCCCCUCGUUGCUAGUAGACUCCAUAGAUGCAUCUUGGUGAGCGUAGGAAAAUUUUAAAUUAUGCUACGAUUCCCAACAACCCCACCCCUGGCCUGCAUGUCUUGCAUGAAAACUUCUCGGAAUCAGAAAUAAAAACAGCAUUCUUUAAAAUGAACCCGCAGGCCAGUCCUGGCCCAGAUGGUUUUGGGCCUGCGUUCUACCGAACAUACUGGCCCACCAUUAAAAGCUUCAUCCUCCCUUUCUUCUCACAAUUCUGUCAAGGCACGGCCGACACGGAAAGAUUAAACAGAGCUCACAUUGUUCUCCUCCCCAAAAAAGAUCAGCCUACUUCUCCAAACGCUUUCCGGCCCAUCUCGCUCCAAAAUUGCCCAAUCAAAGCUGUUGCCAAAGUCUUGACCACUCGCCUCAAGCCCUUCAUCCAGUUACUAGUGCAUGGCAAUCAGGCAGGGUUUAUACCAGGGAGGGAUAUAGCUGAGAAUUACAUAUUCGCCGCCGACCUCAUUAGCUCAUGCCACACUAGGAAAAAAACCUACUAUGGUUUUCAAACUAGACUUCAGGAAAGCUUUCGACUCGGUCGCUUGGCCUGCUCUGGACAAAAUCCUCCUCGCCCGGGGCUUCUCACACACCUUCCACAGCUGGAUCCAGAAUAUCCUAGUGACAGGCAAAACCGCCAUUCUUUUGAAUGGCAUCCCAGGCAACUGGAUAGACUGCAAAAAUGGCCUACGGCAGGGCGACCCCAUCUCCCCCUAUCUCUUCCUGAUCGUAGCAGACCUGCUCCAACAGCUUAUCUUCAAAAACACACACGCCUCGCUCCACCACCCCAUCUUCUCUCAUCUUCCACGCACCGUCCUCCAGUACGCAGACGAUACUCUGAUCGUUGUCGCCGCCUCGACUGAUGCCGCUGCCGCUCUAAAAGAAAUUCUAGCCAACUUCGCCAACGCCACUGGGUUAGCCAUAAACUUCUCCAAAACUACGAUCACAACCCUACACAUAGACGAUGUUGCUGCUAACGACACCGCCCUUGCCAUGGGCUGCUCUCGCACCUCCUUCCCCCAAACCUAUCUUGGCCUCCCUCUCUCCCCUACUAAACCUCCUUCCACUGUAUUCGACCCCAUCCUAGAACGCUCUCACAAGCUGUUGGCUGGCUGGCGAGCCAAGCUGCUUGACAAAGGCGACCGCCUCAUUCUUAUCUCCGCAGUCCUCAACUCCCUCCUCACCUACUUCAUGUCAGUCUUUCGUCUCCCCAAAAAAGUUUUAAAAACCAUCGACUCCAUUCGUAGAGCCUUCUUCUGGGAAGGUGAAGAUUCAGUUUCAUGUGCUCAAUGCCUUAUUGCAUGGAAAAACGUUUGCACUCCAAAAAAAUAUGGUGGUUUAGGUCUCAAAAACUUGCAUCUUCAGAAUAAUUGUCUGCUCAUGAAAUUUGCAGCCAAGGCACUCACCUCCUCCUCCACCCCCUGGAUGGACUGGUUGGAUCUUCAACACCCAAAUGCUUUAGUUUCACCCCCACCCCAAACCUCCUUCCUCUGUCGUGCCAUAGCACAGCAAAUACCAACACUCCAGUCCAUCACCUUCGUCCUAACAAACAGUGGGACACACACCUACUUUUGGCACGACACUUGGCUCACAUCAACAACUCCAGCUCACACUUACCCUCACCUAUUCUCACAUUCCACUCUUCCGCUGAUUAAGGUGGCUAAUGUGCUGCGCUAUGGUCUAGAAGCUAACCUCCGUAACCGUCUCUCCCUACUGGCAGAGCAAGAGCUUGUUGCGUUGUUGGCUGUUUUGCAGGAUUUCGUCCCUUCGGCUGAGGAAGACCAAAGGUUCCUAAUUCAGGGUCUUGCCUUCUCCACCAAGCAAGCGUACGACACUCUCAUGGCACGCCCGGACUGCGAUCCUCUCGCCCCCAUCAUUUGGCACUCCAAGGUUACACGCAAGAUUAAAAUCUUCACCUGGCUUCUCUUCAAGGAUCGGCUCAACACCGGAGCCAAUCUUGCACACAAGCAUAUCAUAUCCACGGACGUUUGUCCUCGCUGCACUAUGCUACCAGAGGACUCCUUGCAUCUCUUCCUCACCUACCCCCUUGCCAACCGUGUCUGGCAACGGCUAGGCAUCCUACCUCAAGCGGAGGGCAUCAUCGACCUUUGGGACGCGUCGAUUCCUCACAAACUGCCACACAAGGCCUGGCCUUUUAUUCUCAUGUCUCUCCUCUGGAAGAUAUGGGUUGCAAGAAAUGAUAUGGUGUUUAGGAACAUUGAUCAACGUUCUGUAAUAACUGUGACGCCCCCGAUUCAAUCGUGCACAAAUCAUACACGCAAACGUGUACGAUCAAGAUCAGGGACUCACGGGAAGAUAUCACAACACAACUCUAAAAAUAAAAUAAGUCAUACAAGCAUCAUAAUACAAGCCAGGGGCCUCGAGGGCUCGAAUACAAGUGCUCGAUCAUAGACGAGUCAGCGGAAGCAACAAUAUCUGAGUACAGACAUAAGUUAAACAAGUUUGCCUUAAGAAGGCUAGCACAAACUGGGAUAUAGAUCGAAAGAGGCGUAGGCCUCCUGCCUGGGAUCCUCCUAAACUACUCCUGGUCGUCGUCAGCGGCCUGCACGUAGUAGUAGGCACCUCUAGUGUAGUACGAGUCAUCGUCGACGGUGGCGUCUGGCUCCUGGGCUCCAGCAUCUGGUUGCGACAACCAGGAAGAAACAAUAGGGGGAAAGGGGGGAGCAAAGCAACCGUGAGUACUCAUCCAAAGUACUCGCAAGCAAGGAUAUACACUACAUAUGCAUGGGUAUAUGUGUAAAGGGGCCAUAUCGAUGGACUGAACUGCAGAAUGCCAGAAUAAGAGGGGGAUAGCUAAUCCUGUCGAAGACUACGCUUCUGGCAGCCUCCAUCUUGCAGCAUGUAGAAGAGAGUAGGUGGUAAGUUCACCAAGUAUCAUCGCAUAGCAUAAUCCUACCCGACAAUCCUCUCCUCGUCGACCUGUGAGAGAGCGAUCACUGGGUUGUAUCUGGCACUUGGAAGGGUGUGUUUUAUUAAGUAUCCGGUUCUAGUUGUCAUAAGGUCAAGGUACAACUCCGGGUCGUCCUUUUAUCGAGGGACACGGCUAUUCGAAUAGAUAAACUUCCCUGCAGGGGUGCACCACAUUACCCAACACGCUCGAUCCCCUUUGGCCGGACACACUUUCCUGGGUCAUGCCCGGCCUCGGAAGAUCAACACAUCGCAGCCCCACCUAGGCACAACAGAGAGGUCAGCACGCCGGUCUAAAUCCUAUGCACGCAGGGGUCUGGGCCCAUCGCCCAUUGCACACCUGCAUGUUGCGAACGCGGCCGGAAGCAAACCUAGCCCCCUUAAUACAAGCGCAGGCUUACGGUCUAAUCCGGCGCGCGCCGCUCAGUCGCUGACGUCAAGAAGGCUUCGGCUGAUACCAUGACGUCGAGUGCCCAUAAUUGUUCCUACGUAGUUGGUUAGUGCGUAUAGGCCAGUGGCCAGACUCGGAUCAAAUACCAAGAUAUCAUUAAGCGUGUUAUUUUGAAGUAACCGCGAACGCCGACAGGGCCAGGCCCACCUCUCACCUAGGUAGUCUCAACCUGCCCUGUCGCUCCGCCACAAAGAUCCACCCAGAGGGCCGUCGGGACAAAGGUCCUUUCAGCCCCCAAUCCGUGAAUCACUCGCGGGUACUCUACGAGCCGACCCGACUUUAGUCACCACAUGUAUCAUGUAUAAAGUAUAUAGUAUAUACCCGUGAUCACCUCCCGAGUGAUCACGGCCCGAUAGUAUAGCACAGCAGACGGACAAGAAUGUAGGGCCAAUGAUGGAAUACUAGCAUCCUAUACUAAGCAUUUAGGAUUGCAGGUAAAGGUAACAACAGUAGUAGCAAGGGCAGGCUAUGCAUCAGGAUAGGAUAAACGGAAAGCAGUAACAUGCUACACUACUCUAAUGCAAGCAGUAGAGAGAAGAAUAGGCGAUGUCUGGUGAUCAGGGGGGCUUGCCUGCAAGCCCAGCCGAGAAGGAGGGGUCAUUAACACCGUAGUCGUACUGGGUAGCAGCGGCGUCGGGGCGGCCUUGGUCGAUCCGACCACGGAGCUAGACGGUGGGGAUGAGGAGGCAACGGCGACGUGGCUUCAUUAGCAGAGUUUCACUGUAGCUUAAUUAUCCGGGCGUUACAAAUCUCCUCCACUACAAGAAAUCCCGUCCCGAGAUUUAGGAGGUAGAAGGAAACAGCGCGGGGUCCUCGUGUUCCCAAGUGGCUUCAUCUUCAGAAUGGUGCGACCACUGGACCUUGAGGAACUUGAUCGCCUUCUGACGUGUUCGGCGUUCAGCUUGGUCGAGAAUGCGGACUGGAUGCUCUUUAUAGGAGAGGACCUAUUGCAAUUCGAGCACUUCACGAUCCACUGCUCGGAUUGGGUCCUUGAAGCAAUGGCGGAGCUGUGACACGUGGAACACAUCGUGAACCUGAGAAAGGUUCGACGGAAGCUCCAGUUGAUAUGCCACUUUUCCACGCCUUUCCAGAAUAGUGAAUGGACCAAUAUAGCGAGGAGCUAGCUUGCCCUUGAUUCCAAAGCGGUGAGCACCCUUCAUUGGUGUGACUCUAAGAUAAGCCUUUUCGCCAGGUUGAUAGACCAUGUCUUUAUGAUGACGGUCAUACUGACUCUUCUGACGCGACUGAGCAGUCUUGAGAUUCUCGCGAAUAAUGCAGACUUGUUCUUCAGCAUGUUGGAUAAUAUCCGGACCGAAGAGUGGACGUUCCCCAGUUUCUGACCAGUUCAGAGGGGUUCGGCACUUUCGUCCAUAUAAUACUUUGAAGGGGGCCAUCUUCAGACUAGCUUGAUAGCUAUUGUUAUAGGAGAACUCAGCAUACAGGAGAGAUUCCUCCCAUUUCUUGCCGAAGGAAAUAACACAAGCUCGAAGCAUGUCUUCGAGAACUUGGUUGACGCGUUCAACUUGCCCUUGCAACUGAGGAUGAAACGCAGUACUGAACGACAGAUGAGUUCCCAUAGCUUCUUGGAAACUUGCCCAGAAUCUUGAAGUGAACAAGCUACCACGGUCCAAACUGAUAACUAGUGGAAUACCGUGAAGUGAAACAAUUCUGGACAUGUAGAGAGUUGCAAGCUGACUAGCAGUGAUCGUUUCUUUGACAGCCAGAAAAUGGGCAACUUUAGAAAGCCGGUCAAUGAUGACAAGAAUAACAUCAUUACCUUUCUGCGAUUUGGGAAAUCCAGUGACGAAGUCCAUCUCGACAUGGUCCCAUUUCCAUUCAGGAAUAGAGAUAGGUUGCAGAGUUCCAGCAGGCCUUUGAUGUUCUGCUUUGAUACGACGGCAAACCUCACACUCGGCAACAUAACGAGCAAUGUCUUGCUUCAUAUUAGACCACCAGCAUCUAUGAGGAAUGUCUUGGUACAUCUUGGUGCUACCGGGAUGAAUAGACAAAGGCGUAUCAUGAGCUUCUUUCAUAACCUCCUGUGUCAUAUCUAGGUUUUCCUCUAAACAUGGCACCACUAGGCGGACCUUUAAGUACAAGGUGCCAUCAUCAGCAAUAGUGAAGAAUGAGGGCUUUCCUUCUGCGAGGUAGCGCUUAAUCUUGUGGGCUUGAGAGUCAUACUUCUGCAGCGUUUUGAUGCUGUCCACGAGAUCUGGUUUAGCAACCAGGGUAUUGAGAGAACCCUAGGUAACAACAUGGAGGUUCAUCUUACGACACUCAGGAGGAGGGGGAGCGAGUGCACUAGGAGGAACAAUAUGGAGGUUCAGCUUUCUGAAUUCUUCAACAAGCGAGGGAUGAACUUUGUGAACCUGGAGGUGGUUGCAGUAAGACUUGCGGCUCAAGGCAUCAGCCAUUACAUUAGCCUUGCCUGGUGUAUAGGAAAUACCCAAGUCAAAGUCUGCAACAAUAUCCAUCCAUCUCUGCUGACGGAGGUUCAGGUCUGGCUGAGUAAACAAAUACUUCAGACUUUGGUGGUCGGUGAAGAUCUCGCAACGAUUACUGAGAAGGUAAUGUCGCCACUGUUUUAGCGCAUGAAUGACAGCAGCAAGCUCGAGGUUGUGAACUGGGUAGUUCUCUUCGUGAGGGCGCAAUUGCCGAGAGGCAUAAGCAAUCACUUUGUGCUCUUGCAUUAGGACACAGCCUAAUCCUUGACGAGAAGCGUCGCAGUAAAUGACGAAGUCCUUCUUAGUAUCAGGUGGAGCAAGCACUGGGGCAGAACUCAACUUGUCUUUGAGUGCCUGGAAACUUUCCUGACAAUUGUCUGUCCAUUGGAACUUGACACCCUUAUGCAAUAGGUUAGUCAGAGGCCUAGCGAUCUUGGAGAAGUUCUUGACGAAUCGACGGCAAUAGCUGGCGAGUCCGAGAAAACUUCUGACUUGCUUGACAUUCUUCGGAGGAGUCCAAUCGAGAAUAGCCUGAAAUUGCUCGGGGUUGACGGCAAUACCAUCCUUGGAGAUGACAUGCCCAAGAUAGGUUACUUCGGGAAGCCAGAAUUCACACUUGGAGAACUUGGCAUAUAGCCGAUGCUCUCGUAGAUUUUCCAGCACAAGACGAAGAUGUUCAGCAUGUUCCUCUUUGUUCUUGGAAAAUACCAGGAUAUCAUCCAGAUAAACCACGACGAACUUGUCAAGGUAUUCCAUGAAUAUAUAGUUCAUCAGACGAGAGAAGGUGGCUAGAGCAUUGGUCAAGCCGAAUGACAUGACGGUGUACUCGUAUGAACCAUAUCGAGUCACGAAGGCGGUCUUUGGGAUAUCCUCUUCACGAACACGGAUCUGGUGGUAACCCAACCUCAAGUCGAGUUUAGAGAACACUGAUGGACCAGCCAGUUGAUCAUACAGAUCAUUGAUCCGAGGAAGAGGAUAUUUAUUCUGAAUGGUAGCUUGGUUUAUAGGACGGUAGUCUUGGACUAAUCGGUUUGUCCCAUCCUUCUUCUUGACAAAGAGAGAAGGUGCUCCCCAAGGAGAGCAACUUGGGCGAAUGAAACCUUUGCGAAGAGAUUUUUCGAUUUCCUCCUUAAGCUCAAUGAGUUCAUGCGGCGGCAUCUUGUAGGGUCGUUUGGCUAUAGGAGUGGUGCCUGGUUUCAAGUCAAUGAUGAAUUCGACAGCUCUAGCAGGGGGAAUCCCUGGAAGUUCUUCAGGAAAGACGUCCUGGUAUUCGCGAACGACAGGAAUGUUUUCAAUGCCCUCGAGUGGUGCAGCGUUCAAUGCAUUCAACGCAUAAAGCCUUGCCUCGUCAUUCUGAACCAAACGAGCAUUGUAGCUUAUUAUUUCAUCGGAAGGGUGUAGCAGAUAGACGGUCAUAGUGGCGCAAACUAUAGAAGCAGUAUGCGCUUUCAACCAAUCCAUUCCCAGAAUGAGAUCAAUGCUACAGUACUUCAGUAUGAUGGGAGAGACAAGGAAUUCCAGUCCUUCGAUUUCAAUGAGAACGUCGUGACUAACCAUAGAGGUUUGACAUUGGCCCGCAGGGGUGUGUACCACUAGCGGAGUGUUCAUCUCUUCGUAUUUAAUGCCAUGCAUGAAUGCAAAUUCUGCUGAUAUGAAUGAAUGUGAUGCUCCUAUAUCAAAUAAAACAGAUGCAGGUACUAAAUUAACGAGGAGUGUACCCAUCACAGUAGCAGGCUGGUCUUGAGCUUCGUUGAGAUCAACGUGGUUGGCAUGAACACGACCAUAAGACUUGGCAUUGUUGUUGCGGGGCUAGUUGUUUCCACGGCCAGCUGCGGGAAGGGCCAGUUGAUUCUGAUUCUGAUAGCAGCUCCUGGCAAGGUGACCUGGUUGACCACACUUGUAGCACAAACCAUUAUUGGGAGUGGGAACAGGAUCUUGGGGUGGUGGAGCUGGAAGUCUUGGCUGCCUAGAUGGUGGGGGAGGCAGACGCGGUGCAGCAUAAGACUGCUUUGGAGCAGGUGCAUUUGGACGGUACAUGUUGUUCGGGAUCCACAUCUUACGCUUCUGCGAGGGCGGGCCCGAAGAUGAGCCCGUGUCACGGUUGCGCCUGUGAGAGCUCUGGUGUUCCUGCAGACCAGUCUCGACAUUGAUGGCCUUGUUCACCAAGGUGGCGAAAUCGGCAAAGUCAUGCACUAGUAGUGCGAGCUUGAUGUCAGCUUGUAGUCCAUCAUGGAACUUCUCCUGUUUGCGAGCAUCAGUUGCAAUGUCCUCUUCAGCAUAGCAGGACAAGUCUAGAAAUUCCCGCUGAUAAGCUUCGACAGUUUUGUUGCCCUGGGUGAGGUUGCGGAACUCACGCUUCUUCCGGUCCAUGACUCCCUGAGGAAUGAACCGGGCACGGAAAGCGGCUUGGAAAUCUGGCUAGGUGAUGAUUGUUCCAACCGGUAGAGUACGCAUGUGGCUAUCCCACCAUUGGGCAGCGGGUCCCUUUAGAAAGAAGGAAGCAAAGGUGACAUAGCGGGCAGGGGCUACAUCAGCAGACUCCAUCUCAUAGGUGAUGUCACGGAGCCAGUCAUCAGCAUCCAGAGGCUGAGUUGAGCUACGGUAGACGGUUGGGUUGAGGUGCAUGAAAUCCUGCAGAGUCACUUGGGCUGGCUGCUGGUUCAUAUUGGGGCGAGGGAACUGAGCCAUCAUAUUCUCCAUGAACUGGCGAUUCAUCUCAAGUUGUUGGAUCAUACCAGCCAUGUACUUAGGCGGUGGUGGGGCGUUGCCACCAUGACCACAACCACCUAGUCUAACCAUCCCGCUAAUAUAUAACAGGGGUAGUUCAGCAUUGGGAAAUUUGCAAAGACAAGAAUCAUUCAUGAUGAAACAUGCAUAAUAAAGGAGCACGGUAGAUACUACAUAGUAGUCGGCAUAUCUUAAAAAAGGGAUCAUGCAUAGAGUUCGGUACACAGAGUUCAGUACAUAGACUAAAGACAUCAUAGGCGGCACGCAGGCUCGCAACGAAGGCACCUAAUACUAAUUAGCAAGUCCACAUCAGUACCAGGAGGAACUGUGGAGGUAGGUGUAGCCUGACAGCUGGUAGUGACGUGACGGGAAGUCCUCCACGUCAGUAGCCUGGGGUCCGCGGAUACUCUGGUGCAGAACCCGACGCUCAGGUGGCAGAAGAGGACCAAGUGCGGGAGAGUAGCCCCCCACAUCUGGCCAGCCGACACCUUGGGGCAUCACGGUCCUGGCUGGGUAGAUCGCAGAACGCGGCAGAUCAUCAAAUCGGACAAGGGGGUGCAACCGCAUCAGAGCACGGUAAAGGUGCUGACGGGUGGUGUACAACUCGUGGUGAAGAGCUCGGUUAGCUCGAUCCAGCCCAUCAGCAUGCAGAACCAAGUUCUGAUGGUAGAAGGGCUCUCGGGUGACCGUGGAGUAGGCAGCAGUGUAGUAUCCCUCCGCACCAACAUCGGAUGCGAUAGCAAUGUGCCUGAAAGGGGAAGUGUCCAACGCCCAAUACUCUCCACGAAGACGUGUCAGAGCAGCACAAGCAGCAUCGUGGACUGCCAUAUCGAUGGUCACUCCAACACCUUGAGCAGUGUGCAGCACAGUAGUGGAGUCAUACUCCCGAGAGUAGAGGUGGACGAUGGCACGGUACUGCUCCUGGUUAAAGUCCUGGUACUCCUCGUAGACGGUGUACUCAGGGUGCCAGCCAUAACCUAGAUAGGUCAUCAUCUCAGCUAGCACAGCAGGUGAUCCUGAGGCACCAAUGGCCGUCGUGUGGUGCACGACCUGCCUCAUGGGUUCCAUCUGAAAGCAAAGAUGUUUCAAAGGAGUCAAAUGACAGUGUGGGUAUUGUUCAAAAUACUAUUCUAAGGAAUAACUAUGGCUUAUCCAACUUUGGGGUGAAUGUGGUCACGAGAUCCUAAUGUUAGAGUUAGUAAAUUCGUUUAACCCGAGUAGAAGAGAGUUCAGAGUCCCGGAGUAAAGAUCGAGGAGUAAAAGAUCCUAGUACCACCCAAAUGGCGACGUGGGCCCGUAUGACACACAGCCAUGUUAGUAAAAGUUUUGUAAUUGCUAGACUCGACUUCGGCCAAGGAGUGUGGAAGGGGAUUCCUACAGGCAGUCGGCUCUGAUACCAACUUGUGACGCCCCCGAUUCAAUCUUACAGUAAUCAUACACGCAAACGUGUAUGAUCAAGAUCAUGGACUCACGGGUAGAUAUCACAACACAACUCUAAAAAUAAAAUAAGUCAUACAAGCAUCAUAAUACAAGCCAGGGGCCUCGAGGGCUCGAAUACAAGUGCUCGAUCAUAGACGAGUCAGCGAAAGCAACAAUAUCUGAGUACAGACAUAAGUUAAACAAGUUUGCCUUAAGAAGGCUAGCACAAACUGGGAUACAGAUCGAAAGAGGCGCAGGCCUCCUGCCUGGGAUCCUCCUAAACUACUCCUGGUCGUCGUCAGCGGCCUGCACGUAGUAGUAGGCACCUCCAGUGUAGUAGGAGUCAUCGUUGACGGUGGCAUCUGGCUCCUGGGCUCCAGCAUCUGGUUGCGACAACCAGGAAGAAAGAAAAGGGGGGAAAGGGGGAGCAAAGCAACCGUGAGUACUCAUCCAAAGUACUCGCAAGCAAGGAUCUACACUACAUAUGCAUGGGUAUAUGUGUAAAGGGGCCAUAUCGGUGGACUGGACUGCAGAAUGCCAGAAUAAGAGGGGGAUAGCUAAUCAUGUCGAAGACUACGCUUCUGGCAGCCUCCAUCUUGCAGCAUGUAGAAGAGAGUAGAUGGUAAGUUCACCAAGUAUCAUCGCAUAGCAUAAUCCUACCCGACAAUCCUCUCCUCGUCGACCUGUGAGAGAGCGAUCACCGGGUUGUAUCUGGCACUUGGAAGGGUGUGUUUUAUUAAGUAUCCCAUUCUCGUUGUCAUAAGGUCAAGGUACAACUCCGAGUCAUCCUUUUACCGAGGGACACGGCUAUUCGAAUAGAUAAACUUCCCUGCAGGGGUGCACCACAUUACCCAACACGCUCGAUCCCCUUUGGCCGGACACACUUUCCUGGGUCAUGCCCGGCCUCGGAGGAUCAACACGUCGCAGCCCCACCUAGGCACAACAGAGAGGUCAGCACGCCGGUCUAAAUCCUAUGCGCGCAGGGGUCUCGGCCCAUCGCCCAUUGCACACCUGCACGUUGCGAACGCGGCCGGAAGCAGACCUAGCCCCCUUAAUACAAGCGCAGGCUUACAGUCCAAUCCGGCGCGCGCCGCUCAGUCGCUGACGUCAAGAAGGCUUCGGCUGAUACCACGACGUCGAGUGCCCAUAACUGUUCCCGUGUAGUUGGUUAGUGCGUAUAGGCCAGUGGCCAGACUCAGAUCAAAUACCAAGAUCUCGUUAAGCGUGUUAUUUUGAAGUAACCGCGAACGCCGACAGGGCCAGGCCCACCUCUCACCUAGGUAGUCUCAACCUGCCCUGUCGCUCCGCCACAAAGAUCCACCCAGAGGGCCGUCGGGACAAAGGUCCUUUCAGCCCCCAAUCCGUGAAUCACUCGCGGGUACUCUACGAACCGACCCGACUUUAGUCACCACAUAUAUCAUGUAUAAAGUAUAUAGUAUAUACUCGUGAUCACCUCCCGAGUGAUCACGGCCCGAUAGUAUAGCACAGCAGACGGACAAGAAUGUAGGGCCGAUGAUGGAAUACUAGCAUCCUAUACUAAGCAUUUAGGAUUGCAGGUAAAAGUAACAAUAGUAGUAGCAAGGGCAGGCUAUGCAUCACGAUAGGAUAAAUGGAAAGCAGUAACAUGCUACACUACUCUAAUGCAAGUAGUAGAGAGAAGAAUAGGCGAUAUCUGGUGAUCAGGGGGGGCUUGCCUGGAAGCUCAGCCGAGAAGGAGGGGUCGUCAACACCUUAGUCGUACUGGGUAGCAGCGGCGUUGGGGCGGCCUUGGUCGAUCCGGCCACGGAGCUAGACGGCGGGGAUGAGGAGGCAAUGGCGACGUGGCUUCAUUAGCAGAGUUUCACUGUAGCUUAAUUAUCCGGGCGUUACAAUAACCCUAAGAGCCCUCAUCUCCGACCUAGACCUUUGGUCACAUCGUCUCAUGGAAACAUGCGGCAAGGAGGACGUCUCCUCGUGGCGUUCUGUAACACCCCGCAUGUAACUUGCCAUAUUUGUAACUCCGACUCUUGCCAUUUCCGGCUAUGUGUUAUGAUUUUCCCUCCGUUGUCGGGUUUUGUCUUUUGUUUUGUAUUUUGUCAUGUCAUGCAUUUUCAUAUCAUGUCAUCAUGUGCAUUGCAUUUGCAUACGUGUUCGUCUCAUGCAUCCGAGCAUUUUCCCCGUUGUCCGUUUUGCAAUCCGGCGCUCCUAUCUCCUCCGGUGCACCCCUUUCGUUUUCUUUCGUGUGCGGGUGUCAAACUUUCUCGGAAUGGACCGAGGCCUUUCAAGUGGCCUCAAUAUACCACCCGGAGACCACCGGUCAAGUUUCGUUCCAUUUGGAGGUCGUUUGGUACUCCAACGGUUAACCGGGUAUCUGCAAAGUCCAUUUGAGUGUCCAGCAAAAAACCCCUCAAAAACCAGCCCAAACCCACCAAACUCUCUUCCAUACUCUAGGUCGUUCGAUCACGAUCGUGUGGGCGAAAACCGCACCUCAUUUGGAGCCUCCUAGCUUCCUCUACCUAUAAAUAUGUGAGACUCCCGAAAUACAAUCGCAGUCCAAACCCUACCCUUCUUCCACCUCGCGCCCGGACAAAAAUCCUCCGCCGCCGGACGUGUCCGCGCCGCCACCUGUCCCUGCCGCCGUCGUUCCCACAGCGAGCCCAUAUCCGGCCCGCGGGGCCCGAAUCCCNNNNNNNNNNNNNNNNNNNNNNNNNNNNNNNNNNNNNNNNNNNNNNNNNNNNNNNNNNNNNNNNNNNNNNNNNNNNNNNNNNNNNNNNNNNNNNNNNNNNNNNNNNNNNNNNNNNNNNNNNNNNNNNNNNNNNNNNNNNNNNNNNNNNNNNNNNNNNNNNNNNNNNNNNNNNNNNNNNNNNNNNNNNNNGGUCGCCGGCGCCGCCCCCGCCGCCGCCGCCGUCGCACCUCUUCCCCGCGCCGGCGUCCUCUCCCUCCGGCCACCCGCCUCCUUUCUCUCUCCCGUCGCCGGCCCGAGCUCCUCGAGCUCCUGUGUUGCUCCCGAUCCAGAUCCGCACUGUAGAGGUUGACUCCCGUAUCCCUUUUUUUCUGUCUGGAAUUUUUACAGCAAUAUGCCUCUGUUCGUGAUGCCAUAACUCCUUGCAUGUAGCUCCGAUUCGUGCGUGUAAUCUGUAAAAUUGUUCGUCUCGUGAUGCUCUUCAUUUUGUUCAAUUGCACCAUGUUCAUUAGAGGUCAUCUUGAUGCCCAAAUCUCUGUUGGAAGAGGGCUAGUUGCUGUUAUUCUCUGGUUCUUAUCAGAACUUGGAGAUUUGUCAUUUUUGUAUCAUUAAAUCUGUGCAUCUUUUGGGCAUGAUCUCUACAUGUGUUUUGAAGCAUGCCAUGCCAUCUUUCCAGUGGUGUAGUCCAUGUAUUUUUUUGAUCUCUGUGGUGACUAGCACAAGCAUGCAAAGUAGGCCCCGUAAUAUUUCCGAUUUCAGGGACUUGGUGAUUUCUCCAAGUCCUUGUCUGCUGUUAUUUUGUUGCCAUGAAAACUUGAUGCUACAGACAGAUCCAUGCAUAUUUUGGAGAUGUUCAGUAAGUAUGUUUUGUAGAUAUAGUUGUAAUUGAUCCAUUCCUGCAAUUGCUUGCAAUUAUGGAGGGCCAUAGCAUGACUCAAUCUUGCUCUACUUUUGCUAUAAAAUAUUUCUGGCAGAUUCUUAACAUGAUAUGCAAUUUUGCCAAGCUUAUUGUAGUUGAUCCUUACAUGCUAUGCUUUUGUUCUUGCCAUGGUUAGCUUCAUCAACAUGCCAUAUUUAUGUAGGUGUGCUUGGUUUGUAGUGCAUUGCUCUGUAGUGAGUGCAUCAAGCUCACAAAGAGGCCUACAUAUUAUUAUUUCUGCCAUGCUCUGUUUUCUGCUAAGUCUGAAACCUGAUAACGAAACUUGCUAUGUUUACAUGCUUGCCAUCAUAUCUUAUGGUCCUUUUUGGUUAAUGGUCAGUAAGAGACUUUUGUCAUGUGCAUUUAGUAGAACACUACCAUUCCUUGUUUUGCUAUAAUAAGUUCCUGUAGCAUGUUGAUUUCGUGCUCUAUAACAUUGCUACCUGAUGCUGUUUUUCUGCCAUGUCCAGUUUUUCACCAAGUCUGUGAACCUGUUAUCUUUUGCACGUUUGCCAUGCUUGUUUGAGCUUGAUAUGUUGUGAACUAUCCGUAGCUCAGUGUUCAUCUUUUGUCAAGCAUCUCCUGUAGAUUACUUCCAUGUGCUUUGUUGCUAUGUUGGAGUGUUGUAGCAUUGUUACUUGUUGCAUUUUAAGUGCUAUCUUGCUGUUAAUCGCAGAUUCGUGUCAUUCUUGUUUUGCUUGCCAUUUGCAAACCGUGCAUCCGAUUCCGGUGAUCUUUAUAUCGAUUUCGACCGAAAUCAUCCCAUCUUUCCAUUGGCAUGCUUGGUUUGCCAAGUUACUGCCAUGUUCAUCAUUUUUCCGUCCGGAGCACGCAUAUGCAUCGCAUAUCAUAUCUUGCAUAUCAUACAUGUUUUGCAUCAUGUUGAUUGUGCAUUUCUCGUGAUUGAUUGUGGUUCCGUUUGCUUGUGUUCUUGCCUUGGGUAGAUCCGGGAGACGAGUUCGUGAACGAGGAACCUGUUGAGUACGCUUACGAGGAUCAAGCUUUCGACAACUCUGAGAACCUUGCAGGCAAGAUGACCACCCCUCGAAAUCACUUCUAUCUUUGCUUUGCUAGUUGUUCGCUCUUUUGCCAUGCUCCGCUACCUAUCACAUGCUAUAUCAUGUCUCCCAUUUUUCCAUGUCAGCCUCUAACCAUCAUUUCCUAGCAAACCGUUGUUUGGCUAAGUCACCGCUUUUGCUCAGCCCCUCUUAUAGCGUUACUAGUUGCAGGUGAAGUUGAAGUUUGUUCCAUGUUGGAACAUGGAUAUGUUGGGAUAUCACAAUAUCUCUUAUUUAAUUAAUGUAUCUAUAUAUUUGGUAAAGGGUGGAAGGCUCGGCCUUAUGCCUGGUGUUUUGUUCCACUCUUGCCGCCCUAGUUACUGAUAUACCGGGAUUAUGUUCCUUGAGUUUGCGUUCCUUACACGGUCGGGUGAUUUAUGGGACCCCCUUGACAGUUCACCUUGAAUAAAACUCCUCCAGCAAGGCCCAACCUUGGUUUUACCAUUUGCGACCUAUGCCUUUUUCCCCCGGGUUUUCUAGAGCCCGAGGGUCAUCUUUAUUUUAAACCCCCGGGCCAGUGCUCCUCUGAGUAUUGGUCCAAACUGUCAGUCGCCGGUGGCCACCAGGGGCAACUCUGGGCUGGCCUAUCGGAAGCUUGGACAAUCCGGUGUGCCCUGAGAACGAGAUAUGUGCAGCUCCUAUCGGGAUUUGUCGGCACAUUCGGGCGGCUUUGCUGGUCUUGUUUUACCAUUGUCGAGAUGUCUUGUAAACCGGGAUUCCGAGACUGAUCGGGUCUUUCCGGGAGAAGGUUUAUCCUUCGUUGACCGUGAGAGCUUAUGAUGGGCUAAGUUGGGACACCCCUGCAGGGUAUUAUCUUUCGAAAGUCGUGCCCGCGGUUAUGAGGCAGAUGGGAAUUUGUUAAUGUCCGGUUAUAGAGAACUUGUCACUUGACCCAAUUAAAAUACAUCAACUGCGUGUGUAGCCAUGAUGGUCUCUUCUCGGCGGAGUCCGGGAAGUGAACACGGUCUGAGUUAUGUUUGACGCAAGUAGGUGUUCAGGAUCACUUCUUGGUCAUUGCUAGAUGACGUUCGUUCCGUUGCUUCUCUUCUCGCUCUCAUUUGCGCAAGUUAGCCACCAUAUAUGCUUUUGCCGUUGCAGCUCCACCUCACUACACCAUCCUUUCCUACUAGCUUAAAUAGUCUUGAUCUCGCGGGUGUGAGAUUGCUGAGUCCCCGUGACUCACAGAUUCUACCAAAACAGUUGCAGGUGCCGACGAUGCCAGUGCAGAUGAUGGCGUCGAUCUCAAGUGGGAGUUCGACGAGGAACGUGGUCGUUACUAUGUGUCUUUUCCUGAUGAUCAGUAGUUGAGCCCAGUUGGGACGAUCGGGGAUCUAGCAUUUGGGGUUGUCUUAUUUUCAUUUGGAUUUUGACCGUAGUCGGUCUAUAUGUUUGUAUUUUGGAUGAUGUAUGAUUAAUAUUUAUGUAUUGUGUGAAGUGGCGAUUGUAAGCCAACUCUUUAUCCCAUUCUUGUUCAUUACAUGGGAUUGUGUGAAGAUGACCCUUCUUGCGACAAAACCACUAUGCGGUUAUGCCUCUAAGUCAUGCCUCGACACGUGGGAGAUAUAGCCGCAUCGUGGGCGUUACACGUUCCUACCUCUCUGCACGCUGCGUCGUGCCUUUGUAAUUCUGUACUUGCUGCCACGGCGGCUUUUNNNNNNNNNNNNNNNNNNNNNNNNNNNNNNNNNNNNNNNNNNNNNNNNNNNNNNNNNNNNNNNNNNNNNNNNNNNNNNNNNNNNNNNNNNNNNNNNNNNNNNNNNNNNNNNNNNNNNNNNNNNNNNNNNNNNNNNNNNNNNNNNNNNNNNNNNNNNNNNNNNNNNNNAAAAACGUCUAGAUACAUUCGUUUCAGCGACAACUAGUGUGGAUCGCAGGGAGUACCCAAUUAUAUAAAUUUUGCUAUAUGGCCAUUGAAUGAUCACUAGGAUUUCAAGUUGUCCAGUGCAAUUUGCUCUCAACAAGCUGGAUAUAUAAGAGGCUAAGAAUCUGGAUCUUCAUUCAUCGCACACCCCUGUAAUACCAAUUAGAUGAUGAAAGCAACAUAUUUUCAGAGAGAUGGAUGGUCAAAGUAGGACUGUGUCAAUGUGCAGAUAUUUUGGAACAAAGGGGGUUGUCGUGGAAUUGUCACCGGAGAUGUCCUCGAGCUAGGACUUAGUCGUGAAGCCAUCGCUACUAGGAAGCUUGAAGGGGUUAUGCGGGACAAGGAACACGAGGGUUAUACUGGUUCGGCCCCUUACGGUGAAGGUAAAAGCCUACGUCCAGUCUGCGGUGAUAUUGAUUAGGGUUACGAUCGCCAAGAGCUAGUCAGCUAUGCCCGGCUCUCGAUGAGAUUGUUCUCUCUCUUAAACCGCUGCCGGGUCGUCCCUUUAUAUAGGGAGGAAGACGCCCAGCAGCCCUUAGAGUCCCGGCCGGCUCAUAAGAGUGUCCGGCUCGGACUCUAAACUAAACUUGCCUUAAGCCGCAAGUUCUACUAUAAUAAUGAUUGUAACUACGGGCCUUAAGCUAUAUCCGGGUCUCAGCCCAUCUCUGGCCCAUCGUCUUGAAACUUGGCUCCGGGCUUCAGGCAACGACCGUACGAGUAACCCGGCCCCUCCUGGCGGGUGACUCUAAGGUCUAUAUCCUCAACAUUAGGCCCCAGAUUGAUUUGAGCCGGCUCACGUCAAUCUUCAACUCUUCUGACAGAAAAAAUCUCCGGCUUACCAUCUAUGUGAAGGCCAUAACCCGGAGUGACGUCAUCCUCUGGACUCUGGAUAAUCCGCCGUGACGUCAUCCUCCAUUAAGUCCGUUUUUUACUCCGCCAGAUCCGCAACGGAUCUUUGCUUUUACUGUCAUUCCGAAAAUCGAGGCGUCGUGAGGGGGAGAUAACCACGCCGUGGUUCCCUUGAAUCUCGCGCCCACUUAUGACCUCACCUUAUAAAUAGGCCAGCCCAACAGGUUCUUCUCACGCUCUCUUCUUCCUCCUCGCGUCGUCGCUCCUCUGCCAAAGCUCUACCACUGCCGCCGCCGUCGCGCCCCUGGUCUUCAUCAACCCGGCCGCUGCAUCACCCUGACUCGGACCAGAUAAACGGCGGCGACCUCCGCUCUUCUCCAACUCCGGUGAGUCUCCUUUACCCUGUCAGAUAGAUCUACCGUAGGGUUUGUCUGUGUUCUUCACGUUCAUCGCUAUCGCCACAAACCUCAGUAGUUCUCAUAGUCAUUGUACUUGAUUGAUCUCUAACCUUGCAUAGAACUAGUGCGGUAGUUGUCUUAAGCCUCAUUUCAAGUACCAGUAGAUCUCCUUCCACUGUACAGAUGCUUCGUUCGAGCUCAAGAAUAUCCGCUCGUCUGUUUCUAGGUCUAGAAAGUUUUCAUUUCACCCGACCAUUUUGAUCCAAAAAAGUUACUGCCAUAUGUGAAACCUGUUUUACCACACUUAGUAAAAACUGCAACUAUUGAAUCUUGGCGGCUUACAUUUCCGGCUUAAAGAAAACACGCGCCGUAGAACUUUCCGGUUUAAAGAAAACCAUGCUCUGUAGAAUCCUCCGGCUUAACUGUAGUAAAUAACCAAUUUACUCUGAAUCCCCCUGCGGCUUAAACAACCCACCGUAUCUAAAUAUAUAUCAUUAGUCCCCUUCAUAAGCCGCCAUCUUAGUUUGAAUGAUAGAUCUCCGGCUUAUAAUUAACCCGGACACUUUUCUCUUUAUCAUAGACCACCAACCUUCACCAUGCCUCCCAAGGCUCCCAUCACUUGCAACUGGAUGAGAUCCAACGUCACCGACGAGACCCUGGCCAAUUUCGUUAAGUCCGGAUAUUUUCCUAAGAAGGAAAUCAUGUCCUACCGUGCCCCUGACCCGUCGGAAGAGAGACCACAGCCAAGGGACGGGGAGGUAGUGAUCUUCGCAGACCAUAUGAGCCGGGGCUUCGCACCGCCUGGCUCAAAGUUUUUCAGGGACGUGCUCAACUUCUUUGACUUACGGCCUCAGGAUAUAGGACCCAACUCCGUAUCCAACAUCUGCAACUUCCAGGUCUUUUGCGAAGUGUACCUUGGAGAAGAGCCCAGUUUGCUGCUUUUCAGAGAACUGUUCUACUUAAACCGCCAAAAUGAGUGUGCCAAUGGGCCAAGUCUGGAGUUAGGCGGCAUCUCCAUCCAGCGGCGUAGGGACUGUCUGUUCCCUUACGCAGAGCCGCCAAGCCACCCCAAGGACUGGAAUAUGACUUGGUUCUACUGCCAAGAUACGUCCCCGGCUGACGAGAAUCCGCUGCCUGGCUUUCGCCCAACACGUCUAGAGCCGACUCAUCCGCUGUCGGACAAACUGACUGCAGCGGAACGCCAACCUCUGCUUCCAACCAUCAAUAAGAUCAAGGCCCUACUAGGCAACGGUCUGAACGGGAUUGACCUGGUCCGGGUCUGGAUCUCAUGGCGGGUGAUCCCAUUGAGCCGCCGCCCCAGCUUAAUGUGUGAGUACACCGGGCGAAAAGAUGACCCGCAGAGGCACAGUCGCAAUGAUCUUCCAGAAGAUGUUGCAGAGGAAGAGACCAAGGCUCUAUUAAACGAGAGUCUAGCAGACUGUGGAAGGACCGGGCUAGCGCCCUUCUGCAAGACCAAUCCAGCCCCAGCGGUAAGCCGCUGACUUUAACCUUUCAAUUUCUUCUGCAUGUAACCUUGAUCUGAACUGUUUUAAGAAUCAAUCAUUGUAUCCUUCAGGCUGAUGACAAAUUCUGGUAGGUCAAAUAUGACCAUGAAGCGGCCAAGAAGACCAGGAAGGCGAAGAAAGCCGCCAAGAAAGCCGCCCCUCGCAAAAAGGGAAGCAGACCCACUGCUUCGGAGCUAAUGCAAUUAAGCGACAGCUCCGAGUCAGAGGUAACCCUUAAACCUUUAAAUUUUUGUUAUAUUUGUUGUUUGUUGCUGUCUUCCUUAUCAACACUUUGCUCAUUGACAGGAUGACACCGGCGCCAGUAACCCGGUGGUUGAAGAGGUAACAUCACUUUCCUCCGGCUCGGAGCCCUUGCCACAGCUGAAAGUCCGAAGGGUAACCCGGAAAGUAAGCUUUUCUCAUCCUUUAGCUCAUCAAGACCCUCAAUUUCCUUUGAAGCAGCAGGUUCACGAAAGUCGGCGUCACACCCGGGCCCGCAAGGACACCGACCUCUCCGUCGGGUUACCCGACGCAACAAGGAAGCGUCGCACUGAGGUUUUCUUUUCUCACUUGUACCCUUUUCAUCCGUUGGCGGGUGUUAUCCGUCAGCCACUCAACUCUUCUGACUCCAAUUAUCUGGAGACCUCCCCCUCUUCGGGUGACUCCAUGCAGUCAAAUCUGCCGGCCUUCAAGACUGCACCCGGGUAAUAACAAUCUCCUUACAUUAUCUUGUCUGUACUUACUCGUUGUGUGCCUAACACUUCUGUCUUUUUAGUGCCCAGGCAAAGCUCACCAAACGGGCGAAGAAGACCAGAUCAGCCGGAGUGCCAGACUUACCUGACCCGGAGGCGACGGCUCAAGAGCCGCCAGCUGCCUCCGCCCCCGAAGCCACCACUCCAAAGAAUACGGCGCCUGAGGCCCCUGCCCCGACUACCAAGACAACGACCGAAGCUUCGGUUAACCCGGAGGCCUCCGGCUCAGCUCCACCAGCAGACGACCCGGACGUGGUAAUCACCCGGACGGAAUUCGUUGAGCCGGGGAGACCGACCGUGUUGGCCCAAUGCUCCGCGAAGGGGGAGUUACUGCAGCCCCACCGGGUGAACCUGGACCUCUCCGGCUACACCGACUUGAGCAUUGGAGAGCUCGUCUCCGGCUACAUCAAUCAAGUCCACAAGAGCCGGGACGCCGAGGUCGCCAUGGUCAACCAGAUCCAACAAAAAUCUGAGGUAUCCUUCUGCUGCCGUCUUAUUUACUGCAUAGUUACCUUUGCCAUGCUAGCCCCCAAGUCAACGACUUAUGCUUGAAUAUGUUGUACACUUAGGUUCCGGCUUACUCAACUGAGCCGGCAAUAUGUAGAUAGAUACGUUCAAUAUGCAUUAGCCCCCAAAUGCCAAGUGUCUUUGCUUGGAAAGCGCUUAGGACUUAUAUAAUGACUGUUAAUAACCCGGAAAUAUAUGCAGGCUGUUGGCAAGAAAUUAGAGGCGGAUCUUGCGGAUCUCAAGAGCCGGCUGAAAAUGCAGGAGAUGGAGACCCGGAAGGCAAACGCCAAGUUUGUAUCCAGCAUCGCCACUUACGAAAAAUUGAAGACCGAGUUUGAUGCUGAGAGGAAAGCCUGGGUCGAAGAGAAGGCCGCACUGGUGACCCGGGCGGAACAGGCGGAGAAGGCUCUCGCUGAGAAGACCGCCGAGCUCUCCGGCCUAAAGCGCCAGGUUUCCCAAAUGGUGGCUGCUAUCUUUGGUAAGUCACCUCACCGGCUUUCAUCAAGUAUGUAUAUAUCAUGAUUCAUCCUUGUCACCGGCUUAUCUGAUCUUGUUAAACAGGUCCCAGGAGUGCCAACCUCAAUCAGAGCGUGGUCACCAAAUUAAAGGUCGUGUACACCCUGGUGGAACAGCUCUACACCGGGUCACAGCGUGCCUUAGCUGUGGUGGCCCUAUCCAACGAGGUGCCAACUCAUCUGGUCAAAGUCCUGCGCCGGCUCGCUGUUCUGCCACAGCGGAUCCAGGAGCUACGACGAGCCUCUGCGAAAGCCGGAGCAAUCGCCGCGCUGAGCCGGGCCAAAGCAUUCCUGCCGGAGCUAGACCCGGCAGACAUCACCCUGGGUUAUCCAAGCCUGAAGGAAGACGGCUCAGCCUUCGACCAGAGGGACUUCGCGGCGUGUGUGAAGGCUGUACGCCCGGUGGCCACCAUCAUCGGGAACGACACCGACUUAACCAAGUACCAGCCGGGUUACGAUGCGGAGAAUCGGAGGAUUCCAACCCCUCGCUAUGAAGCUCUCAAUCUGAUUCCUCCGGCUCGUCAGCACACCUUCGCCCCGGAGAUUGACCCGGCCGGGUUAAUUGAUGAAGAAGCCCAGUUCGAAACUCUCAGCGGCAUUGACUGGAAAUCAUCCACCUUCGAGGUCUUAGGUUCAGCCGGAGGAGAAGACAGGAAUGAGCCGGGGACUUCAACCCAGCAGGCAUCAUAGUUUAACUGGCGGGUUACCAAACAUUGUUCCACCUUUUAAACUUGAGGAGUUAUUGUAAUAGAGUAGGCGCAACAAUUUAUCUCUGCCGUGCCAUCGUGCACGUUUUGAAUGCGAAAGCCCUUUGAAUUUGUCUCUUUGAUGCUUCUCCGGGUCAUAAUCCUUCCAUUGCUUUUCUUAACCUCAAAAGGUGCUUUUAAGUUUCUGCAUAUAAAAGCAAAUCACAAAUCUCGAGGCGACUUACCGCCCUGAGAUUCAGGUGUUUAAGAUAAAUAACCCGGAAUAUGAAUUAAAAAAGACUGGUCCUUGAUUACACUCUGAACAUAGCCGUAACAAUCACACUUAUCAGCCUGUAAGUAUACUUCCGGUUGAAAGAACCCGGUGCAGUAAGUUGACGCCAAAAUUAAGCCGGCACGUGAAACACGGCCAUGCACACCUCAGAGUAAACUUGUGAAAAAGCAGAAGAACUUAGGGGCUUCCGGUUCGAAUACGACCAGAGACCCGGCCCCAAGGGGUUAAGCUAAGAUUCGGAUACGACCAUAUAGCCCCCAGUGGGUGUGGCGAUGCCAAUCAAGAGGGUACCGACAGCUAUGUUCUCUUUGGUUCGAAUACGACCCAUGUUUGAACAGGAAGCCCCCAAGUGAUUCUUAAAAUUGUUUAACGACGCUGAUUCGAAUACGAUCCACGUCGGUUCUCAGAGGGGUUAAACUAUGAUUCAAAUAUGACCAAAGGCAACCUCCCAAUGAGCUCGGCACUUUGCCAAUCAAAUGGGUAUCGACAGCUAUGUUCUCUUUGGUUCGAAUACGACCCAUGUUUGAACAGGAAGCCCCCAAGUGACUUUAUUGCUUACGGCUAGAUUCGAAUACGAUCAUAAGCCGGAUCCUCCUUUAGCAUGUAAUCUUGUAAUAAAAACAACACACGCAUAUUUGGAGGAGAAAAAAGGACAGAGGUCCUGCUUUAUUGCUUAUUAUAAUAUAUACAUGGCUGAGAUGAAUAUGUACACCACGAGAGCCGGUAGUUCAAGUGUAGUAAGGCCGAAGCUGAGCUAUGUUCCACGGCCGACGGGUCUCUUCCUCAGACUUACGUGAAUCUUUGUGCUCCCGAAUGUCAAUGAGGUAAUAUGACCCGUUGUGCAAAUUCUUUCUGACCACAAAAGGCCCUUCCCAAGGUGGGGAUAACUUAUGUGCAUCUGUUUGAUCCUGGAUGAGCCGGAGCACAAGGUCGCCUUCCUGGAAGACCCGGGAUUUGACCCGGCAGCUAUGAUAACGGCGCAGGUCUUGUUGGUAAAUCGCUGAACGGGUUGCUGCCACAUCACGCUGUUCGUCCAACAAGUCCACAGCAUCUUGGCGCGCCUGUUCAUUAUCCGUCUCAACAUAAGCCGCCACGCGAGGCGAAUCGUGACGGAUGUCGCUGGGCAGGACUGCUUCUGCUCCAUAAACCAUGAAGAAAGGCGUGAAGCCUGUAGACCUGUUAGGAGUAGUGUUGAUGCUCCAUAAAACGGAGGGCAACUCCUCCACCCAACAACCCGGCGUCCGUUGCAAAGGGACCAAAAGCCGGGGCUUGAUGCCCUUCAGAAUUUCCUGGUUAGCUCUUUCAGCUUGACCAUUGGAUUGAGGAUGAGCCACUGAAGAAACAUCAAGCCGGAUAUGCUCUCGUUGACAAAACUCUUCCAUGGCGCCUUUGGAGAGAUUGGUGCCGUUGUCAGUUAUAAUGUUGUGCGGAAAACCAAAGCGAAAAAUCACCUUUUUCAUAAAUUGAACCGCCGUGGCUGCAUCACACUUGCUGACUGGCUCAGCUUCCACCCACUUUGUGAAUUUGUCAACUGCCACCAAGAGGUGGGUCUUCUUAUCCUUGGACCGUUUAAAAGGCCCAACCAUAUCAAGCCCCCAGACCGCAAAGGGCCAAGUGAUUGGGAUCAUCCUCAAUUCCUGAGCCGGCACGUGAGCCCAUCGUGAGAACCUUUGGCAACCAUCCAUUUACUGACCAAGUCUUCUGCAUCAGCAUGAGCUGUCAACCAAUAAAUACCAUGACGGAAAGCCUUGGCUACAAGGGAUUUUGAGCCGGCAUGAUGGCCACAAUCCCCUUCAUGGAUCUCCCGCAAGAUCUCUUGGCCUUCCUCAGGGGAAAUACAACGUUGAAAUGCCCCUGAAACACUGCGAUGAUGUAACUCGCCAUCGAUGACGAUCAUCGACUUAGCCCGCCGGGUUAUUUGCCUGGCCAGGGUUUCAUCCUCAGGCAACUCUCCCCGGGUUAUAUAAGCCAGAUAUGGCAUUGUCCAGUCUGGUAUGACAUGAAGAGCCGCCACCAGUCGUGCCUCCGGGUCAGGGAUAGCCAAGUCCUCCUCUGUAGGCAACUUAACCGAGGGGUUAUACAGGACAUCCAGGAAAGUGUUAGGCGGCACCGGCUUUCGCUGAGAGCCUAGCCGGCUUAAAGCAUCAGCCGCCUCGUUCUUUCUGCGAUCAAUGUGCUCCACUUGGUAUCCCUGAAAGUGCCCAGCAAUGGCAUCAACCUCGCGGCGAUAAGCCGACAUGAGAGGAUCCUUAGAAUCCCAGGUGCCUAACACUUGUUGAGCCACCAAGUCCGAGUCACCAAAGCACCUUACCCGGCUUAAGCUCAUCUCCUUAGCCACCCGAAGACCGUGGAGCAAAGCCUCGUAUUCAGCCGCAUUGUUAGUGCAAGGAAACAUCAGCUGUAGCACAUAAUGGAACUUGUCACCCUUAGGGGAAGCCAAUACCACGCCAGCCACCGAGCCCUCCAGCUGUCUGGACCCAUCAAAGUGAAUAGUCCAAUAAGUGUUAUCCGGCUUUUGCUCAGGCACUUGUGACUCUGUCCAAUCAUUGAUGAAAUCCACCAAGGCCUGAGAUUUAACAGCAGUGCGUGGCACAUAUUUGAGGCCAUGAGGUCCAAGUUCGAUAGCCCACUUAGCAAUUCUCCCUGUGGUCUCUCUGUUUUGAAUAAUAUCACCAAGAGGGGCAGAACUGACCACAGUGAUGGGAUGACCCUAAAAAUAAUGCUUAAGCUUCCGGCUCGCCAUGAACACACCAUACACAAGCUUCUGCUAAUGCGGGUACCGCUGCUUGGACUCAAUGAGCACUUCGCUGACAUAAUAAACCGGCCGCUGAACCGGAUGCUCCUUACCCGCCUCCUUGCGCUCCACCACAACAGCCAUGCUGACAGUUCGCGCGUUCGCCGCCACAUAUAGUAGCAAGGGCUCCUUAUCAACCGGAGCAGCAAGGACGGGGGGCUCUGCCAGCUGCUUUUUCAAAUCCUCAAAAGCGGUAUUAGCUGCAUCACUCCAGACAAAGUUAUCAGUUUUCUUCAUCAACUGAUAUAAGGGCAUAGCCUUCUCACCCAAACGGCUUAUAAACCGGCUUAAAGCAGCGAUGCGACCCACCAAGCGCUGAACGUCAUUUAUACACGCCGGCUUAGCUAGGGAGGUGAUGGCCUUGAUCUUCUCCGGGUUAGCCUCAAUACCUCUGUCAGAAACCAAGAAACCCAAUAGUUUGCCUGCAGGAACACCAAAAACACACUUGGUCGGGUUAAGCAUCAUCUUAUAGACCCGAAGAUUGUCAAAGGUUUCUCUUAAGUCAUCUAUCAGGGUUUCCUCCUUGAGGGAUUUAACCACAAUAUCAUCCACGUAAGCGUGAACAUUGCGCCCGAUCUGUUUAUGAAGACAGUUCUGUACACAGCGCUGGUAAGUCGCCUGUGCACACUUGAGUCCAAAGGGCAUAGACACAUAGCAGAAGGCUCCAAAGGGAGUGAUGAAUGCCGUCUUCUCCUGGUCCUUAACCGCCAUCUUAAUCUAAUGAUACCCGGAAUAAGCAUCCAAGAAACUUAAGCGUGCACAACCCGCCGUAGCAUCAAUGAUUUGAUCAAUACGGGGGAGGGCAAAAGGAUCAGCCGGACACACCUUGUUCAAGUCCGUGUAGUCCACACACAUCCGCCAGGUGCUGUUCUUCUUGAGUACGAGCACCGGGUUAGCCAACCAUUCUGGGUGAAAAACUUCAACAAUAAACCCGGCCGCCAAGAGCCGGGCCACUUCUUCACCAAUGGCCUUCCGCCUCUCCUCAUUAAACCGUCGAAGGAACUGUCUGACCGGCUUAAAUUUUGGAUCAACAUUGAGAGUAUGCUCAGCGAGUUCUCUAGGUACACCUGGCAUGUCAGAAGGUUUCCAUGCGAAGAUGUCCCUAUUCUCACGGAUGAACUCGAUGAGCGCGCUUUCCUAUUUUGGAUCCAGAUUGGCACUGAUGCUAAACUGCUGAGAUGAAUCUCCUGGAACAAUAUCAACAAGCUUAGUUUCAUCAGCCGACUUAAAUUUCAUUGCCGGCUCAGUCUCCGUAGUCGGCUUCUUCAGAGAGGUCAUGUCUAUUGGGUCAACAUUGUCUUUGUAAAACUUCAGCUCCUCUGUAGCACAAACAGACUCUGCAUAAGCUGCAUCACCUUCCUCACACUCCAGAGCCACCUUCCGGCUGCCGUGAACCGUAAUGGUCCCAUUGUGACCCGGCAUCUUGAGCUGUAAGUACACAUAACACGGCCGUGCCAUGAACUUGGCGUAAGCCGGCCGUCCAAAUAUAGCAUGGUAUGGACUUCUUAUCUUGACCACCUCAAAGGUCAAUUUCUCCACCCUGUAGUUGUUCUCAUCACCAAAAGCCACUUCCAACUCGAUCUUGCCGACUGGAUAAGCCGACUUACCAGGUACCACACCAUGGAAGAUAGUGUUUGACUGGCUGAGGUUCUUAUCAACCAGCCCCAUACGGCGAAAAGUCUCAUAAUAGAGGAUGUUGAUGCUGCUGCCUCCAUCCAUGAGCACCUUUGUGAACUUACAACCUCCCACCUGAGGAGCCACCACUAAGGCCAAGUGGCCUGGGUUAUCCACCUGGGGAGGGUGAUCCUCCCUACUCCAUACUAUAGGCUGCUCAGACCACCGCAGGUAGCGUGGAACCGCCGGCUCAACAGCAUUCACAGCCCUCUUGUGAAGCUUCUGAUCUCGUUUGCACAAACUAGUGGUGAACACAUGAUACUGUCCACCGCUAAGCUACUUUGGGUUGGUCUGAUAACCCCCCUGCUGCUGUUGAUGACCCUGACCAGACUGUUGAUUGAAGCCCCCUUGACCGCUCUGAGGACCGGAAUUUGAGCCGCCGCCCGGGCCAUGAAAGCCGCCGGCGCCUGAGCCGCCGCCCGGGCCAUUGUAGCUCUUAAAGGCCUUCAUGAUCGUGCAAUCCUUCCACAGAUGAGUCGCUGGUUUCUCUCUAGAGCCACGCCUCGGGAAGGGGUCCUCCCCUUGCGUCGCUGGUUAUUACUUUGGGAGUUGGCGUUGGCUACAAACUCUAGGCUGCCAUCGGCCUUACGCUUGCCUCCUCCUUGGUUCCCCGGGUUAAACUGAGGACCCUUGCCAUUGCCGUUCUUCUUUCCCUUCCCAGUCCUUUCAUCGUCUGAAGGGGGAUCCUUGGUACCAUCGGAAUCGGCGUAUUUGACAAGAGCCGCCAUUAGUGUACCCAUAUCAGUGCAGUCACGUUUAAGCCGCCCGAGUUUCAUCUUUAGGGGCACAAAGCGACAGUUUUGUUCCAACAUUAAGACUGCAGAGCCGGCGUCCAUCUUAUCCGAUGAGUGUAUGAUCUCCUUGACCCGGCGAACCCAAUGGGUCGUGGAUUCACCCUCUUGCUGCUUACAGUUAGUCAGAUCCACAAUUGACAUAGACUGCCUACAGGUAUCUUUGAAGUUUUGAAUGAACCGGGCUUUCAGCUCAGCCCAAGACCCAAUGGAGUUCGGUGGUAGCCCUUUCAACCACGUGCGGGCAGUUCCAUCUAACAUCAUGGUGAAAUAUUUGGCCAUGGCUGCCUCACUGACCUCCAGCAAUUCCAUAGCCAUCUCAUAACUCUCAACCCAGGCUGCAGGCUGUAAGUCAGCUGUAUAGUUAGGUACCUUCCUGGGGCCCUUGAAGUCCUUAGGUAGACGUUCAUUACGGAUAGCUGGCACCAAGCAAGGGACACCCCCGGUCCUGGUAGGGAUACCCACAUCAACGGAAGUCGUCGGAUAAGCCGGGGGGGUCUGGUAAGCCGUCAACUGAGGCACCUGCUCCGCCUCUUGCCGUGCUUGGUCUGCUGCGUAAAAGGCUCCAUUAUGAGCCGGGCCAUGGCCAGGGGGCGGGUCAUGGCGUCGGACAUUACUUGAGCCGGUUGCUGAGGCCAUGUGACGGCUGUAACUCGGGCUCUAGCCUGGACGAGGGGUCGAGUGGAUCAUGUCCCGGCUGUAGGAGUACGCCUCUUGCUGUGCCAGUGCCGUCUGCAGGAGUUCCCUGACCCGGUGGGUUUCGAUGGCCGCUGGAGAGUCGCCGUCAACGGGGAGAGCCGCCAGUCGUGCUGCCGCAGCUACCAUGUUCUCCAGCGGGUUAUCAUAAUGACCCGGGGGUAUUGGCACGUAUUGAGGCGGGGCAGGGGGCACCUGGGGAGGCCCCAUCACCCGUGGCUGAAUGAGGGGUCCAGACCCGGGCGCGAUGACCCCUGGCGGGUUACUGGACCCUGCACCUGGCGUGUUGAAGAGAUUGCGUGGAUCGUAAACCGGCGGGAGUCGAGACUGGGCCUUCUGAUGCCUCCUUCUCAUGACCUCGUUGGCCGCCUUCUGAUCCAUCGUGAGUUGGAAGGACUGCGCUUGAAACAGCUGAGUCCGGGCGUCGAGAGCCGCCCGCUCCGCAGCCAGCCUGAUCCCUUCCGCUGCAAGAUCCUCUUUAGCUUUUAUCAACUCCAGUUUUAACUGUGCCACUUCCGCAUCAUGCUGAGCUUGAUUCGCCGGGUCAACCAUGGCGGUUAACAGGGCCGUCAUCUUGUCCGUGAGAUCCAUCAGCACCUGAGCCGGAGAAGGCACCGGGUUUCCCGAUCCAGCAGCGGGGUUUUGAACAGGCUGCGCACCAGCCAUAAAAAUUCCAAUCUGACUUGGCGGCUCAAAAAGGUCCGGAAUACUGUCGCCAUCGGAACAACCCAUGAGCCUGCCAUCUUGAAGUUGGUACAAAGAGUUUGAUUCAUCGGUGGCCGACUCGCUGUCAGAGCCGGCGGCCGCCUCAUCACCAGACCCAGAUGGAUCAAAGGGCCCUCCAUGGAUGCAUCCCACAAAGGCGCGCCUUAAGGCAGGCCGGGCCCGGGCGGGUCGUGCACGCUGAGCCGUUUCGGUGAGAUCGGUGCAGAGACCCGGCUCGGGGCCCGGCUCGCCAAUCUUGCCGAUGAAGACAUGAAUUCCGCCAAAGGGGACCCGGUACCCGUACUCAAUUGAGCCGGCGUCGGGGCCCCAGUCCGCAUCGUCGAUGUAGAGCUUGCCGCGACGACUCUUGGUCAUCCGGCCCACAGCGUAUCCCUUGAGCCCUUCGAAGCUGCCCUUAAGAACUCAAAUCCACCGUGCGCUGGCCCCACGGUGGGCGCCAACUGUCGUGGAAUUGUCACGGCAGAUGUCCUCGAGCUAGGACUUAGUCGUGGAGCCAUCGCUACUAGGAAGCUUGAAGGGGUUAUGCGGGACAAGGAACACGAGGGUUAUACUGGUUCGGCCCCUUACGGUGAAGGUAAAAGCCUACGUCCAGUCUGCGGUGAUAUUGAUUAGGGUUACGAUCACCAAGAGCUAGUCAGCUAUGCCCGGCUCUCGAUGAGAUUGUUCUCUCUCUUAAACCGCUGUCGGGUCGUCCCUUUAUAUAGGGAGGAAGACGCCCAGCAGCCCUUAGAGUCCCGGCCGGCUCAUAAGAGUGUCCGGCUCGGACUCUAAACUAAACUUGCCUUAAGCCGCAAGUUCUACUAUAAUAAUGAUUGUAACUACGGGCCUUAAGCUAUAUCCGGGUCUCAGCCCAUCUCUGGCCCAUCGUCUUGAAACUUGGCUCCGGGCUUCAGGCAACGACCGUACGAGUAACCCGGCCCCUCCUGGCGGGUGACUCUAAGGUCUAUAUCCUCAACAGGGGUGUUUAUAUCUUGGAAGGCCAAAAGUUCAAACCUCUUGUGGCGGCCAAAUUGGAAAACCGAACCAUUAGCUGCAUGAUGUAUAGAUGGAAAUCAGAUUAUUCUGUUUUUUGGAAGAAGAAAGAGGCACAAAUUUAAAAAUUGCAACCUAUUGACAAAAUGAAGUGCGCAGCACCUCGAUGCUGAAAAAAAAAGUGGGAGUUCCUUCCUGAGCAAUGAUGGUAGACCCAGAUCCUACUUGGCGCUUCAGGCAGUAUUUCCUUAGCUAUUUCCUUAGAGCAAACUGGGGCGGCCCAUAAACGUGAAGAGCGUUACCUUCUGGCCAGUUUUUAGGAAGCUUCCAGAAGCUUUUCAAACACUUUUUCUCCUUUUUAUGUUCUUUCUUUUUUAUUUUCGUUUUUUCUUUUACUUUUUCCUUGUUUAAAAUGCGUCAAGUUUUUCUUAAAUUUGCAAAAAAAACCUUAAAUUCAUGAACUUAUUUCAAAUUUGUGAAGUUUUUUCCUCAAAAAAGUGAACUUUUCAAAAUUGCUAACAUUUUCCCAAAUUUGUGAUUUUUUUUAAAUCUGCAAAACACGUUAAUUUUUUCUCUAAUUUAUAAACUUCUUUCAAAUUUGUGUAGUUCUAUCAAACUCAUGAACAUUUUUUCAAAGGUCAAGGAUAAGUCGAUAGUCAAUGGUCUACGAUGAUUCAUGAACUUUUUUUUCAAAUCCACGAUUUUUUUUCAAAUUGGUGAACUUUGUUUGUAUUCACAAACCUUUUAGAUUUUUUUUGAAUUUUUUGAUUUCACAAAGUUUUGAAAAUUCCUAUUUUUAAAAAAUUAAUUGCCGACUUUAUUGGGGAUUUUAUUUCGAAAUCAACGGUCAAACCGGUGAACUGAUCGAGUAUGCAACCGAGCGCGUGCGUGCGCGGCGGGNNNNNNNNNNNNNNNNNNNNNNNNNNNNNNNNNNNNNNNNNNNNNNNNNNNNNNNNNNNNNNNNNNNNNNNNNNNNNNNNNNNNNNNNNNNNNNNNNNNNNNNNNNNNNNNNNNNNNNNNNNNNNNNNNNNNNNNNNNNNNNNNNNNNNNNNNNNNNNNNNNNNNNNNNNNNNNNNNNNNNNNNNNNNNNNNNNNNNNNNNNNNNNNNNNNNNNNNNNNNNNNNNNNNNNNNNNNNNNNNNNNNNNNNNNNNNACAAGAUCGGAGGUCUCAAGGUUGACAUGGUAAAUUGGGACGUGGACGUUUGGUCUAUGGGUGUAUAUACACUCUAUAUGAAAAUAAAAUUAAUAACUAAACAAAAAGCCAAAAAAAACUGAAAAUGUUUUUGAAACAAGCUUGACCUCCAAUUGUACGUGUAAAAAAAUUCCACAAAAAAUAACCCUUUGACUUGUUUUAAAAAAAUCAGCCAAAAUAGUGUGGAUAGUGACUUAUAAUAGCAAAUAAUUUUGGUUUUUGAUUUUGCCCUGAAGUGAACGCUGGUUUUUUAUUCGUGGAAUUUUAUAUGCUAGUGCCAAAGAAAGUCAAGUUAAUUCUUAAAAAAUUCUGAAAUGUUUCUAUUUUUUGUAAUUAUUAAAGAAAAUCUCAUAUAGGGUGUAAUUACAACCAGAAACCGAGGGGUAUUUGCCUGGUAAAUUUGUUCAACCGAUUGAAUGCUGAAUGAACUACCCACCCUAUCAUAAACAAACGGGCCUUUUUACACCUGAGAAAAAAUACUACUGGGCCAAGUAAAAGCGCUGUCGGCCCACAGCCCGUCCCGCCGGCCCUCGUCCAUUCGCACGCCGCACCUUUUCACCGCAGUCUCACUCUCUCCUCAGAUUCAGAAGCAGCGGCAUCUCCAUCACCGUCGCCGUCGCCGCCGCCGCCGCCGCGCCUCCACUGAGUGCCGCCCUAGCCUGCGCGCCUCUCCUCGAGCCUGGCCUCCGCCGUCCCCGUGCACGCCCACGAGCCUCCCGCCACCGGGCCCAGUCCUCCUUCCUAGGUAGGUAAGCACGCACGCACCCUGCAUCUCCGGCGGUUGAUGGCUGAUUAUCCUUUAUUAUGUGCGCGGGUGCCCUUCUGCUAGAUCCAUUUCAGUGUCCGCUAUGAUUGUUUGUGCCAUGCGACGAUCUUGGUCUUAGCAUGAUCAGAGGAAACCAAUUUUCAGCUGUCCAUUGUUUGCUAUAUGCUGCUCGGUUCAGGGCAGGCUCGUGUGUUAUACUCGCUAGUGUCUGAGGCUGUGGCACAGCAAUAUAUCCAUGUCCACAUUUUAGAUGUACACUUGGUGAAAGUAGAGGGUGUCACAGCAGUGUAUAUGCAACUGCAGAUGUUAGAUCCAUGCUUGCUGAAAGUAGGGGCAACGGCAUAGCAGUAUGUGCAUGUGCGGAUCUUAGAUUUGUUAUAGUUGGUGAAUGUAGAGGCACUGCCAGGAAUUGUUUUCUUAGUGCGCCCCUGAAAUUCUGAGCUGCAUGCCGCUUCGCAGUGGCGUGCCGUGCUUUCUAAUCCACGUAGUACUUACGUCCCAUGUCUUCUGAGAUCAGACUUUGCUUUGAAUUUACAUGAGAAAUACAAACCAUGUCUGAAUCUUCGCUGGUUGUAAAUAUCAUUGUUCCAAAAUAUCGGCCAGUUAAUCGGCAUCUCGGUCAGUUAAUUGCUACUCUGUUGGUCACCGAAUAACCGAUUAAUUGAUUUAUCGGACGAUUAACUGGAAAAUUCGCCUAUUUAUCCCUACUCAGCACCCGGCCGAUAUGGUACCAGUUACCGAUAUCCUGAAAUUUAAAUAUUAUGACCCUACAUUACAUCACCGGUUCCGAACGCAAUUUGUUAUUCUUUGUGAUCCUGUUGUAAACGUUGGGGGUUCAUAGCAGCCUGCCUUAGUGUCUCAACUGAAUUGGAAUUUCACAAGUCUUUGUACCUGUUCCCCUUCUCUUCAUCUUACCGAUAUCCUGAAAUUUGAAUAUUAUGACCCUACAUUACAUCACCGGUUCCGAACGCAAUUUUUUAUUCUUUGUGAUCCUGUUGUAAACGUUGGGGGUUCAUAGCAGCCUGCCUGAGUGUCUCAACUGAAUUAGAAUUUCACAAGUCUUUGUACCUGUUCCCCUUCUCUUCAUCUUACUUUAUGCUGAUUCCUCUGCUGGGCCAGCUCCAGAAUGGGUCUCCUCAGCAUCAUCAGAAAAAUCAAGCGCAAGGAAAAGGAGAUGCGUAUUCUCAUGGUGUAAGCGUCCUGCUCCAUUCCUUUUUCGCCUUCUUAUUUUACCCCAGAUUCCUCCUAUCCAAACGCAUUAUUAUUCUUGGUUCUUUGCUUGAUAUGUAUGCUUCUUGACUUUCAAGGCUUGUGCCUUUCAGUUCUUUGUUAAUUGUUAUUCUUGAUUGAUUUAUUUCACCGAUGUCAAAUUUACAGCGGCCUGGACAACUCGGGUAAGACGACAAUUGUGCUCAAGAUAAAUGGGGAGGACACCAGUGUCAUCAGCCCUACUCUUGGCUUUAAUAUCAAGACCAUCCAGUACCAAAAGUAUGUACUACAUUCUUUGCUUAUUUAUCAAGUUAAGUAUAUGCCAUAACAGUAAUCAUCACUUCCAGCUGAUGUUAUAUUUGAUCGUUCCAUUUCCAUCUCGAGCAAAUCUAGAAAAAUGUCAGCUGUAGUAACAAAAAGUGCAAAAGGGGGCUGUGAGAAAUUUCAGAGUAAUUUAGGUUGAUGAUUCCAAUUUUAUAGUACCUCCAGGGUAUGCCACUUGUAUUAAGUAUUAACUGAAGGUGUUCUAGAAGAUAUCAUAGUAAUUUUAGCACUUGUAAUAUCUAUGUAUAUUCACUGCAUAGUACCACCGUUUUUCAACAGCGUCAGAAUUUUUCGUGCCUAUUAACUAUUGCAAGUAUGCCAUGCAUUCUGUUAUGUGAAGGGCACCCUAGCCUUUGUAGUUGCAUAAGAUAAUUAGAGGAACAAUCUUGCAAUCUGGGCUUGUUCUCUGGAGGUUUAGUGAUUAAUAUAUAAUUUCAACAGCUUUAGAUGAUUUCAUUUCAAUUACUGCUGGGGGAGAGUACUGUCGUGUUGUGCUUCAGCUAAAAUCAACUGAAGGUGGUCGAGCACCAGCAGUAUUCAAGGUGUGCAACUAGAUUCUUGGGGAAAAGCUAAGAGAGGAUGAGAUCCACAUAUAUGUUUGGGAAUUUUGUAGGCUGUAUUGCUCCACAACCACAAACAUCAGAGUGUAGUUUGGCACCGAUGUUUUCAAGUGGAAAGAGCAGACGCUAAUAUUUAAAUUCAACACAGGCGCAGUGCAAUUUGGAAUUUUGAAUAACUUAUGAAUUGACAAUUUUAGGGACAGGGUAGGACAACGGUGACACCGAACAGUACUAUCAAGCAAUAUGAUGGUUUGUUUUAGCUUGUUUUUAAGUCUAUGUCAGUCAGCAUCUGUCGUGUUUUCGGCCUACUAUGAAGCAAGCUGCAUGGAUGGUUGUAUUUUUAGCAUUCAAAGUAGGCAAUGCAAUUCCGAAUCUGGAGAGGUACUAAAUCACAUCUGCUGUGUUUUAGUUUGUUAUCAAGUGGGAAGAGGAGAUGAUAAUAUUUAAGUCUAACACUGAUGCGGUGUAAUUUGUAUAACUUAUGGUCAGCAAAUUGACAAUUUUAGAGACACUAGGACAACUGUGACACCAAAUGGUACAAUCAAGCAAAAUAUGAUGGUUCAUUUUAGCUUGUUUUUAGGUCUUCGUCAGCCGGCAUCUGUUAUGUUUUCAGCCUAUUACUGUACAAAGCAAGCUGCAUGGAUGGUUGUACUUUUAGCAUUUAAUGUAAGCUAUGCAAUUACUAACCUGUAAUCUGGAAAAGUGCUAAACCACAUCGGUGAAAAUACAACACAUUUUGGCCAUAAUUUUGACAGCUGCUUGAUGCCCAUCACUCAUGAAUCAUGGUGGUCAAAAACUCACAAUGCAUGAGCACAGUCAUGGGAACAGCAGAACAAAUUGCCAGGAAUUGAUAAUGGGGCUGAUUGUGGCAGGUACUCGCUGAACAUAUGGGAUGUUGGGGGCCAGAAGACCAUCCGUUCGUAUUGGAGGAACUACUUUGAGCAGACUGACGGUCUAGUUUGGGUGGUGGAUAGUUCCGAUGUCCGAAGGCUCGAUGAUUGCCGUGCUGAGCUCCACAAUCUUUUGAAAGAAGAGGUAAAUUGCCUAGUGAAUACCACUAAUCGUCUGCUUUAGCAUUCUUUGUCUUGAAAUUUUGCUUCAAAUUACUUAGCUGAAAACUAGCAAUUGCUGUUUAGCAUCAGGAAACUCUUGGGACUGCAAAUUUGAUUACCUAGCAUGUUUGUGCUUAAUUUAUGUGCUAUCCUGUUCAACUACUGAAUGACCCUUGAAAUAUUGAUUACAGAGACUGGCUGGGUCAUCGCUGUUAGUUUUCGCAAAUAAGCAGGACAUUCAAGGCGCUUUGAAGCCUGACGAGAUCGCCAAGGUAAAACACACUAUCACUAGUCCAGUACUCCAGUAGUAUGUAUAUAUGGACCCUCAUGUAUGGGUCAAUCUUCUUACCUGGAGUCGCAUGAUGCCAUGACCAUCUUGUGAUCGUCGCUUCAGGGAGUAGCCAAAACCUCGGAAAACAAUCCCAGCAAGCAUAUACAUACUAGUCUGUGGUCUUCGCUCCAAGAUGCUUUUUGUCUUCUUAAAUUGACAUGUUUAGUCUUUGAAUUCGAUGGUAACUGGAGUUGAGUUUUGGAUUCAGGUUCUGAAUCUUGAAGUGAUGAACAAGGACCGGCACUGGAAGAUUGUCGGCUGCAGCGCCUACACGGGCGACGGCCUGCUCCAGGGCUUCGACUGGCUGGUUCAGGACAUCGCCUCCCGCAUCUAUGUCCUCGACUGAAACAACCAAACUCUCUGGACAUUUAGCCAUAGGCAUGCUGCUGCUUUGGCCAUCUCAUGGCAUCUGUAUGUAAUCUGAUCAAGUUUGAACCAAACCAUAAAUGACAUUUUUAUUCUACACUUCCCUUGUGCUCCGUGUCAGUUGUGAAAGAUGGUGACAGCAAGUUUUGCAUCUUAUGCAGGAUUAGAAUAUGGAUGCUCGCAAUCAGUCCGAAUGACAGCAAGUUUAGAAUAUUUUUUUUCCUGAUUCACAGAACAAUUUCAAUAGAUCUAAGCAAAGAUCGAUGGAUGCUUCAGAACAGUAGAGAGAAAGGAACAAAAAUAAUCAGGACACAGAGGAGGAUAUUUCGCAGCUAUGACGACUUGCAUUUUCUUCCAUUUAAACCGAGUUCAAACAUAGGAUAUUCCAACAUCACAUCCCAAUCCAUGACAGAAGGGAUUGCUGCAUCACCGACGACCGACCGACCAAGACUGAAAGAUAACACAUGUUGUUUCUUCCUCGCGUAACCAGCUCUAAUUAACCCCGGACAGAGCGACACUCGAGCUCGCGAUCAAAAACACCACAGGACUCAACGACACACACGACGACUCAGACUGACUGACACAGGAACUGAAGAUAACUUGCUGACGAAGACGACGAGAUGGUAGAUAGAUCGAUAACUGGAGGGCCCCGCCGCUCAGUUCCUCCACUGGCCGCCGGAGUCACCGCCACCACGCUGGCCGCCGUAGCCACCACCGCCGCCGCCGUAGCCGCCGCCGCCGCCGCCGUAGCCGCCGCCACCGCGCUGGCCGCCGUAGCCACCACCGCCCUGGCCGUAGCCGCCACCGCCUCCCUGGCCGUAGCCGCCACCGCCCUGGCCGCCGUAGCCACCGCCGCCGCCGCCGUAGCCUCCGCUACCGCCGCGCUGGCCGCCGUAGCCGCCGCCGCCGCCCCCACCGCCGGACCGGCGGGACUGGGCCUCGUUGACGGUGAUGUUGCGCCCGUCGAGCUCCUUGCCGUUCAUCUCCUCGAUGGCCUGGCGCAUCGACUCCUCGCUGCCGAACGUGACGAAGCCGAAGCCACGGGACCUGCCCGUCUCGCGGUCGUUGAUGAUCUGCACGCACGCACAAAACACAAAAACCACCAGAUCCGGUCAGAUCCACCACACAAACCCAAGAUCGGGACAGAUCUACCACACGGACAGCAAAUCGGACGCGAAAUUCCAACGGAUCUGGGAGUUGGUUGGUUGGUUACCUUGGCGUCGAGGAUCUCGCCGUACUGGCUGAAGGCCUGCUGGAGGUUGUGGUCGUCGGUGGCCCAGGCGAGGCCGCCCACGAAGCAGCGGUACUCCGUCUCCGCCAUGGAUCUCUCCCUUUCUCUCCUCUCCGAACUACGGAAACCCUAGACUAGGCUAGCUACUCUCGGACCCGAACCGAACCAGAACCCGAACCGGAAGGGGAGGAGAAGCCAACCCCGAGAGCGAUGAGGAGGACGCUGCCCCGCC
rnacentral:lncRNA from 1 species